rnacentral:lncRNA from 1 species
CCACAAAUGCUCUUUGUCCAGGUCAGCUGACCUGCCCUCAGGCCAUCUACAUCAAUGGCAUCCAGCAAACGGUCAGUUUUCUUUAUACUCUGUAUCUCACACGCACAUAGAUAGAUGCACACCAUCUGUUCGAUCAAAUGACUCUGAAAAGUUCGGAUUCUCCAAGUUUGACUUUUCUUGAACCUGAAUAUGUUCAUAGCAUCUUGAGUGCCUGAUCAUGAUUCUAUAGUCUUUGGAUUUUUAUUUUUUUUUGGGAGGAUGCUGACUUUGAAUCCACCUGUAGUUCUUAACAAAUUCAAUUAAUUGGGUGAACCACAUUACAUAGGAAUUUAUUUGCCACCUUUGUUGUUUUCUGACUGAAUUUUCCCAUGUAAGUUUCACUUCACUUCACUCUGCUUUGAGUGAAGAUCGACGAUUUUUCGUCGGACUUUAGCCGAAUAUUAUCGCAAUGUUGAAUUACAAGAUAUCAAUUAAAAGCCAAGGACAACAAUUGAAAAUGAAUUAUAAGUUAUAUUCUGUGUUUGUAGGUCGUUGGCAUAUUCAAGAUGAUAGUUCUUCCACUCUUAGGUCAGCUGGCCGAUGAAUAUGGGCGUAAACCGUUGCUUCUUCUCACUGUAUCAACCACUAUUUUUCCUUUCAGUAUGUUUCUUCGAACAUCUUUAUUAUCUGCAUAAACUUAUUCUUACAUACACAUUUUAACAGGUCAUAAAUAUAUAAACUACUUACGCUAAAGAUGGUAACAACAUUAUUUGUGCAGAUCACGCAGUUUACCUCAAUUUUGAUUUUUUUUUUUUUUUUGUAUUUGUUCGAAUGCAUAUUUUUUGUCUUAAUAUAGUAAUCCUUUUGUUUUCAGCUUUACUUGCCAUCAAUCAAUCAAAAGGAUCUGUAUAUGCUUAUUACGGUAUAAGAACUGUUUCUUAUAUCAUAAGCCAAGGGAGCAUUUUCUGCAUUUCCGUUGCUUAUGCAGUGAGUCAUUCUUUGCUAUUAUCACUAGUGCAUAUGUUGUUGAACGGAAAACCGAUUUUUCGCUAACUCUUUAACCACCUUUUUAGGCAGACGUUGUUGAUGAGAGUCGCAGGGCUGCUGCCUUCAGUUGGAUCACAGGACUAUUCUCUGCAUCGCAUGUCGUAGGGAACCUUCUAGCACGUUUUCUUCCGGAAUAUUACAUUUUCGAGGUAUACAUAAUUUUUUUUUUUUUGCCCUCCAAUUUUAUCCGUAUUUUUUUUUAACUUUAUUUUUUACAUUUUUUUUUAAUGUUGAAUUUCAGGUGUCAAUAGCUCUAUUGAUCUUUUGUUCUGUUUACAUGGCAAAAUUUCUCAAAGAAACAGUAAGACCAACUCAGACACCGGCCCAGAAUAUCCCUUGCUUGAAGAAGCCGUUUGAGAUUGUUAAAGAACGAUAUUACUCGAUGAAGAAUGCUGCAUAUGUUGUAACUAGCAGGUAAAGUCUUAGAAUUUUUUCACGCACUCCAGUAAAUAUAUUUGUUCGUGUGUAUAAUCUUUCAGAGCCGAUUCUUUUCUGCUAUGAAGCUCUUUUUUUUUCCUUUACUUUGAAAAUAAUCUUUGAUCCUUUGCCUCAGCUCAACGCUUAAGCGCAUUUCUCUCAUUUCCUUCUUCUAUGAACUGGGCAUGUCUGGAAUUAGCGGUGUUCUAUUGGUAUGUUUCUGACAAUACAGUAAGCAUAAAUGACAUUUAUCGAUAUUUUUUUAGCACAUUUUUCCUUUUAAAAUAUGUAGUUUUUUUUUCCCUUUUUCUGUUACAGUCAGAUAGCUAUCCAAAACUGAAUACAAUCAGUUCUUUGAGAUCGGUUAUAUGCGUUAAAUUUGUCCGAAAUAAUAUCUUAUCUUCUCCAUUAGGGAGACAUCAUUUAACCUGGAUAUCUGUAUAUAUUAUGAAAUUUCCUGCAUAUAUUUUUGGCAAUGUUAAUCAUGCUGGCAUGCGACUUCAGUAUCUCUUUUAACUGUUCUAUAUAAUCCUGCAGUACUAUUUGAAGUCGGCUUUUGGUUUUAACAAAAAUCAAUUAUCAGAAAUCUUGAUGAUGGUGGGAGUAGGCUCGAUUUUUUCUCAGGUACUUGCUGAUAUGAUUCCAAACUUAAAUUAAUACUUGCGAUCGAAAGUGAAAAUUUCUAUCUGACUAAUCUCGAUUUUUCUUUCUUAUAUUAAUAAAUAAAUACAAUUUCUAUCUGACUAAUAAUCUCCUUUCAAUCAUAUGUUUUUGAAGAUGCUGUUGCUUCCUCUGCUCAAUCCAUUGAUCGGAGAGAAACUGAUUCUCUGUGCAGCCUUACUCGCAUCUAUAGCAUAUGUAAGUUACUAACAUAAAAUACUAUUUUUUAUAUAACGUCCGUGACAAGUUUUUCUUGCUAAAAAUUGAGAAAUGUGCUGACGAAAAUUUAUGUAUCUGCAGGGCCUGUUUUACGGGUUGGCCUGGGCAUCAUGGGUAUAUAAAUCACUAAACUGCAUGUUAAACUCAGGUUAUGUGCAUUAUAUGUAAAAUUAACGAUUAUCGGUGCUAAACACAGGUGCCCUAUUUGAGCGCUUCUUUUGGAGUCAUCUACGUACUCGUGAAACCUUCCGUAAGUAAUCCCACUCUGAAACUCUGUUUUCCCCUGUUUUCAUAUUUAAUUGCUCCAUUUUUAUCCAAUUUCUCAUACAUCUUACGCAUUAUAUUAUUUUGAAUAAAUGGCAGACAUAUGCAGUGAUAUCCAAGGGAUCAACCUCAGCCAAUCAGGUUAGUCUACUACGAGUUUUCUGAAUACGCUUUCUUCGUAUUUAAGGUCUAGAUUCACAGCCCAAACUUUCGUAAGGUUUUCUCUUUUUAUUUCAUUUAUUUUAAAUACCGAUCUUCUUGAAACAGGGGAAAGCACAAGGUUUUGUAGCUGGUGUACAAUCCAUUGCAAGUCUGCUUUCACCACUUGCAAUGAGUCCUCUAACCAGUGAGUCCCGAAUUUCUCUUGAUUUAAAAAAAAAAAAAAAAAAAUAUGUUACCGUUUCUAUACAUCUUUGUUCAUUUCAAGAAAAUAAAUAAGUAUAUAUGUAAACCAAAUUUCUCUUGAUUUAACUAUUGUUCUGUGUAUAAUUGCAAUUUCAGCAUGGUUUCUAUCCAGCAAUGCUCCGUUCGACUGCAAAGGUUUCAGCAUCAUAUUUGCAUCUCUAAGCAUGGUAAUUCGUGCUCUAUUCUUACACGCACGCUAAAAUUAAAUCUUAAAACUUUCAUUUUUUGAAGUUCUAACCGUGCGUGCGUGCGUGUUAUUAGGUGGUUUCGUUUUGCUUUGCUUGCACGUUAAAUCUAGAAGAUGCUCCUCCGACCAAGAAAGGUCUAGAAGACAUCGAAACACCUCUUCUUUCAUGAGAGGAUUGAUGAUUUUUGAAGCAUUAGGAGGUAGUAAAAUGGAAUAUGCAUAUGAAAAGUAGUUUUGUGUAGAUAUGCUAAUGUUGUGAUGUAAUGUUCUUAUACAACCUUCAAUUGUAUCAUAUGAAUCUUGAUUUAUUCUUGGAAAUAAAAUAUAACUACAACCAACUUUUUAGUAUACUAAUUAUUCACAUUUUUAUUUUUUAUUUAUUUUUUAAUUUUUUUUUACUCAAAAAAAAAAAAAUUCUUCACAUUUUUCAUGCAAAAUAAAAUAAUAAAAUAUAAUAUAUAUUGGGAAAAUUACAGUUUUUGUCCUUCAAGUUUGCACCAAUUUCACAUGUGGUCCUCCAUGUUCACAAAAACCACAUUAGGUCCCUCAUGGUUCGAUAAUUUAACAUUUUUUGUCAUUUCUAUCAUUACGGUUAGGUAGUCAUUUUAAAGAGUGAUGGUCCACAUGCAAGUGUUAAAAAAAAUUGUUUGAAAAAUGACUAGGAUCAAAUGUGUAUUUUAUGAACAUGAGGACUAAAUGUGAAAUUGAUGCAAACUUGAGGGAUGUAAGUGCAAUUUUCCCAAGAUAUAUUAUUGCGGGCUAUUGCACGAGAAGCGAAGGGACUUCUCUCUUGAUGGCUGUCCUUGGCUGUAAAUAAAUCAGGAGAUAUGGGACCUAAUAUAAAUAAGUUGUAAACUAAAAGGGUGUGAGUACAAGAAUAAUGAAAAGUUAUGGGGUGAAAAUUAGUAUUUUCCGCCAGAAGUUAUUUCGUAUUAAAAUAAACUUAAAUAAAUAUUUGGCUCCAUUUUAUCUUCUUCUUCUUCUUCUUCUUCUUCUUCCAUGGCACUAACAAUGGAAGCGGUGCUCUCUUCUUCAGCCGCUCCCACCGCCACCACCCAAACAAUCUCAGCUAAAAAUCUCCCAAUUCUCCCUCUCAGAUUGUUGUCCUUUCACACCAGUUCUAACUUUUCAUAUUACGCGUUGAGGACUGCCGGAGCAGCAAACGCUUCAGCCGCCGCUAAUUCGACCGCCCCUUUGGGUGAAAUUAGUACUAAUUACGGCAAUCGCCAUUGGAUGGUGCUCGUGGAAGCCCCUCCAGGAAAACCCAAUGUUAAAUCCCUAAUAAUUGAUUACUAUGUCAGGAAGCUUGAACCCGUUUUGGGCAGGUCGGUGGUUCCCCAAUUUUUAUCAGGAUUUAUUUUUCUUAAUUAAUUAAUUCGUGGUUUAAAUAUUGCCUUUUAUUAUGUUUGUGGCUUUUGAAUUUGAUAUUUGCUCAAUUUCUGGACGUUAUGCUCUUUUGUUGGGUAAUUUCUUCUGGUUUUUUUUUUUUUUUUUUUGGGUAGAAAUGGAUUUUUAAUUUAUUGAUUGAAUUUUGGCUCAUACAGUAAGGAGGGAGCUCAGAUGUGCAUAUACGAUGCUUCCUGCGAUACGCAUUUCGGUUUCUGCUGCGACAUUGACGAAGAAAGAGCUUACGAAUUAGCGAGUACGUCUCGUUUAUUUUAUUUUUUUUCCUGUGUUGUUUCAGAGUUUUUCGUCCUAUUUUGAGUAAUAAUGAAUUCUCAUUUUUGGUCUGGUUCAUCACAGGUAUACCUGGGGUAUUAUCAGUUAAGCCAGACCCUGAUUUCGAUUCAACGCAUAAAGAUUACAGUUCUCCAAAGCUUGAAUUCAUUACUGAAUCGAUCCCUUUCUAUGAGAACACGUUAUUGUUUCCUGCUGGUAAUACGAAACGCUGGCUUGUCCGAACGGACAGGCCAUCGAUUGGGGCCGUUAGAAAGGCGCAAAUGGUUGAUUAUUAUGUCCAAGUCUUGAUGAGGGUUUUGAGGAAGUGAGUAUGGGUUUUAUCUUAUCGUGCGAAAUGCUUUAUAGAGUCCGAUUAUUUAUAUGAGUGAGAAAUGAGAAAUCGUGUUUGUUUUGCAGUGAGAAAGACGCUCAGAUGUGCAUGUACCAUGUUUCUUGGGAAUCUAACUACGGGUUCUGCUGUGAACUAGACGAUGAGUGUGCUCAAGAGUUAGCUGGUUGGUUGGUUUCUUUUAUUAUGCAUCGAUAAUUUAUAUGUUUGUGUGUUAAUGGUGUGUGUGUGACAAUGGAUAUCUUCGUUAUUACAGAUGUGCCAGGUGUUCGAUCUGUCCAGCUGGACGAUAAUUUUGGAUCGGAUGAGAAAGAUUAUGCAGGUUUGUCAUAAUUAUUACAUUUCACGAGCAUAGCUAGUUAAAGGAGUCGAUUAAGUGUUUAUAUAUAUUCGAUCCAGGCCAUAGUUCGGACUUUGGAGAGAGUGUUGAAAUCCGUUAAAUGAAAAACACGACAGUAUUUUUUGUGGAGCACCUUUCUUGAUAACAGUAUUAAAACUAAUCAGGAAUUUGGAACGAAAAUAAUGAGUGUGCAUAUUGCAGGUGAGAAUAUUAGAGCCUCGGAAGAUUCUUCCGCGUCAAUUCUAACAAGCAAUAUCAAGACAAAGAAGCUUUUUGUGACUGGUAUACGGCAACUCUAUUAGCAUUAAUUUUGAAGUUCUAUUAUUUUUGGACUUGGCAUUUUUGCACUAUGUUUUUUGUUACUCGGUCUAAAAAAUCGACAUUCAAAAAAGUUGACAAAUCUCAUUUUAUUUAGCACUCAUGGUUAAAAAAAUUAAAGACUAAAUAUAGCAUUUGAUUCUGCAGGUUUAUCUUUCUAUACAUCCGAGAAAACCUUGCGCUCAGAGUUUGAAGGUUUCGGCGAUCUUGUUGAAGGUACAAAUCCCGGUCAAACAUUCCAUACUUCAAAAAAGAAAAAAAGUUGACCAAGUAUAUUUAUUCGUCUGUAUUUUUUCCUUCCGUGGGCCCCACAGUUAAAAUCAUAAUGGACAAGAUCUCAAAGAGGUCGAAAGGCUAUGCUUUUGUAGAGUACACCACCGAGGAAGCUGCAUCCACCGCCCUCAGGGAAAUGAACGGAAAGGUGGCUGGCAUUUUGUAUUAUUUUCAUUAAAACUUUUCGAAUAAUUCGUUGUUUAUAAAAAAAAAAAAAGAACUAUAACUGAGGUUCGUUUUUGGUUUCGUGUUUUUUUUUUUUCAGAUCAUCAAUGGCUGGAUGAUAACAGUUGAUGUUGCUAAGGUGAACCCUCCGAAGUAUAGCAGGGGCCAACCGAGACCUACGUUUUGAUGCAAAUUUAUUCAAAUAUUUCCAGGAAUAAUAUAUGUUUCUAAAUGUAAUGCCAAAUCGAAGGGGAGAUACGAGAAACUAUUGUAUGUUGUAUGUAUCAACAUUGGUAUAGAGAAAAGGUGAGAUUAAUUAUAUAUAAAUUUGGACAAUAAUAAUAACAAUAUCAAAACUUGUACACAAAAAUGCACCAAAUAGUCAAUAAUCAUAGAAAUACUAGGAUCCAUUAAUCCAAUAUAACUGCCAAACUUACAUACGAUGAUUUUGUUUUACAUACUGGUAUGAUUUUCUUUUUUGAAUUUGCAGAAUUUACCGGAAUUUGCGAGAUCGGUGGUACAACAGAUGUUCUUGAACUUAAAAAGGGUCAAUUCACUUGGAAUAAACAAAAUAGGAAUAACAGGGAUACAACCAAUCAGAUGCUCGCCCCGAAAUACUGCCACGUCAUCGUUCAAAAACUGCGAUUCGGCACAAAAUAAAUUAUCGAAGUCGCAUAACGAAAUGCUGAAGCAGAGUGUAAUGGCAUUCAAUUAUGCAGCUGCUGCUCCUGUAUUCAUUCGACCAAUCCUCUAUAAUGCUUUCUUCUUGGCCCUCCAAAUUGAUCAAAAUAACCCUCAUCAAGGUAGUAGUAUAUUAUUUAAAAAAUUUAAUCCACAAAACCGAUUUUUUUUAUUCACUUUCAUAAUAAUUAAUAUAUAUUGAAUUGUAAAAUAAUUCGUGUAGGAAAGUUGUCGGAAAAAUUGAAACCGUGCUGCAUUGGUGUAAACGGGGAAGACAAAAAUAACGGUGAUCAGAAGAAAUAUAUAGUGUGCGAAGAUCCGAAAACGACAUUUUUCUGGGAUUCGAUAAAUCCUUCGGAUCCUGGUUGGUUUGCUGUUUAUUCAGCUCUUAAACACUCUUAAUGCACUUUUGCUAUGAAACGUUUUUUUUUUUUUUUUUUUAAUUUUAAUUUUAAUUUUAGGGAUAAUUAGUAAAAACCCCCAAUUCAUUUACUUAUAUCAAGGAGAUAUAGCCUCAUUUUCAUUAUUAGUGAGAACCCCCUUAAUUAUUUAAUUAAAUUAAUAUUAAUAUAAUGAUUAAGUGUUAUACCUAUAUUAUCCUUAAUUUUCCAAAUAUUAUAUUUACAAACCCUAGCAAUAUUUGCUGCAACAAAACGCCGUUCUCAAAUCUCCACAAACCGCCGUUCUCAAAUCCCCAUCAUCUCUUCUCUUCUUUUCUGGAAUCGAAACUCACUCGACUCGAUGGCGGCGGCGGUGAAUUCAUGACGACAUCUCUUCUUUCUCGAAUUGGGAAUCCGACGGAUGUGGGGCAAGGAGAGGACGAAGCCGGCUCCAGAUCUCGACAACGACAAGGUGCCGCCGCCGAAUUUAGGACGGACGGCGGCCUUCCGGUCUUACUCCCUUCCUUUCUGAGGGAUGAUCAGAUCUGCUGGUAUUUUUUUUUUUUUGUUCUUUCGAUUUUUGGAAGCAUUCCUGGAAUCCUCGUCGGAAGAUCGCCUCUACCACCGUUGUAAUGGAAUAGAUUGACCUCGAGGAGGAGGUAUUGUUUGGGAGGCUGGUUUGUUGAAAUUGUGUUCGUGUUACUCAAAAAGAUAUAGUUUUUUUCGUUACGGUUGUAGUUGGUUUCAAUAAUAGUCGUUUUUGUUGGAAUUUUGGUGUGUUUUUUUGCUUUUGCUUUUGUGGAUUUCAAUAAUUUGUGGUUGAUUCAAUAUAGUUGUUUUCGUAUGGCAAUAUAGUUGUUUUUGCACAACAAUAUACUGUUUUCAUUACUUUUUAGUUGGUUUGAAUAAAUAGUUGUUUUAACAAAUAGUUGUUUUGGAGAUGUUUUGAUUAAAUAAUUAGUUAAUCUUACAAUGGAAAUCACAUAAUAUAUAAUUAAUUUAAUAAAUUGUGAAACUGAUGUAUCAUUGUUUUAAUAAUAGUCGUUUUAUUGGCAUAUAGUUGUUUUAACUGAAAACUAAAAUAAUAUAGAAAAUGAAUAUUUAAAGAAAAAUAUUAAACUUUUAUUUUUUAUUUUUUAAAGAAGAAAUAAAUAAAUAAAAACAAAAAUUAAAAUUAAAAUAUAAAAAAUAAAAAAAAAUAUCAAACUAGUGGAUAAUGGGUAGUGAAUAGUGGGAGGGUAAAUUUGAGAAUACAAAAAAAAUGGGUUUCUCACUAAUAAAGGAAAAUGAGCUAGACACAUCUUUAUUAAAAUAAUGUUAGAGUGGGUUCUCACUAAUAGUCCCUUAAUUUUAAUAUCGCUUGUUAUUUCUUGCAUUAAACGUGUAACGACUUUUCUAUGAAAUCGUGGUGUUUAACAUAUCAACUGUUUUAACUGCUACCGUUUUGCCGGUGUGUCGUUAUUAUUCGACACUCUUUCCCUACAGUUAAAACAGUUUCAAAGCUUUGAGACUGCAAUAAAUCUUAAUAAUACUAUCUAUAAUGAUGAUUAGACUAUUUAAUUAUUUAGGGCAAAUUACGGCCACCUCUUAGGUAUAGCCAAAUUACGAAAAAAUUCCCUCUUGUUUGAAUAAUUACAGUGACCCCCUCCUUUUAAAUACUUUUACGUAAAAUUUAUGUAAUUCAGUUAUUUACUGAACUAAAUCGUAUAUUCAGUUCGGUAAACGUUAUGAAAUGUUGGCGUACCGAAAUUUCGGUUCGGUUUUACCGAUUUAACAUCCAUGUAUUUACCCAUGGGGGGUAUUUUCGCAAGAUAAUACAUAGCCGAGAAGGGUGACUGUAAUUACCCAAACAAGAGGGGGGUUUUUUGUAAUUUGAUCAUAACUUAUGGGUGACCGUAAUUUGCCCAAUUAUUUAUAAUAAGUUAAUAACGAUUAAUCAUUUCAAAAAAAAAAAAAAGUUAAUAACGAUUAAUUUAGUUAUGGGCUGAAGCCCCAUUAAACUCAAUAAAUUGGGCCUCUUCUUAUAUUUGGGGCCUUUUGAGCUUCAGUUAUUAUAUUUUUUAUUAAAAUAAUAAAUAAAUAACUAAAUAGCACCAAUAUAUUUCACGUGCUUGUACUUCAUAUGCAGUAGUAGUAGUACAUCUUUAUCUAACGUAGUACUAUAGGUUAAAAGGUAUAUUUGUACUACUAACAAUACGACCCAUAAAACAAAUAAAAAAGUACUUUUAGGUCCACUAAUGAAAUGAAAUAUGCCUUCCUUCUAAGGUAUGCCAAAAUCAUUUGGCCACCUUUCAAAAAAAAUAUGUUCUAACUACUUCAGGUAAUUGAAUUUCAUAAUUUUUAUUUAUUUAUUUAUUACUAUUUUUUUUAUAAAUGUUGUACUAAUGUUUGUGUGUGUAGUGUAGACACUCCACUUGUCUUUUCCAUGUAGUACAAUUUGUCAAAAUAUUAAUCGAGCCAUAUUUGCAAUGCACGAAUAUUUUGAAAGAGAUUUCGUCUCUGAAUCGGAUACGCACUAUUAUUUUAACACCUUUCGUAGAAUGAAACUGACGUUCUGAUACGAUUAUGUACAAACGAAGUGCUGUAUGUGUAAGAUGCGCACUGACACUUUCGAACGUUCUCUUGUGUUCAGUAUUUUUUUAUAUUUAUAUUUUUGUAAUAAAGUAUUUCGGAUGGAAGAGAAGAUAAUGGAAGUUUAGUUUGGACCAUUUGUAGAUAAAUAUAUUUGAAAUUAAUUAUUAAAAAAAAAAUAUUUUCUUAAUAUGACAAAGAUUGUGAUUUAGUAGUGUAGGUCAAAUUUACUUGUGUAUGGUUGAUGACUUGAUGUACAUUGUGUAGCCAAAUAGCAUUAAAAAAUAUUUUAUUUUAUCCAUGUAAUUUCAUUUAUUUCCUCCUUUUAUCAUAAUAUAUAUAAAUAUAAAAUGGAGUAGAUUUUAAGGCUAUGUUUGAUUAGAUUAAGUACUGAAUGCUGAAUGCUGAAAACAUAUCUGAACAGCUAAGAGCCCAGUCUGAAUCUAAAUGCAGAAUAGUUAAGUUUGUUUGAUAAUUAUAUAUCUGAAUGAUACACUAUUACUAAAUUAACCCUAUACAUAGAUUUAUUUACUACGUGAACUAUUAGUAAUAUCAAACUAUUUUUUUAUGUAAUAGAAAAAUCAUAUCAAAAUCCAAAAAAUAUGGAUUUGAAAAAAAAGAGAGAAAUUUUUUCCUCCAUUAUUGAAUAAUGUAAUGAAAAUUAAUAUUUAUCUCAUCCCAUCAUCUCAUUGACUCGAUUCGUACAUAUCUCUGAACAAGAAUACAAAUUGCUACGCUACUACUGCAAAAAUAUGUACAAACCAAUGUAAACAACCAACAUCGCCGCCUCAAGUUCUGUGAAUCUAUGUCCUUGACGUGCUGCUAAAAACAUCGUCAUAUUCUCAAAUCUUGCAGCCCCUCAGUCAGAUUUUCAAUUCCCGACCAUCUCCAACGGAAUCCCCAAAUUGAUUCGUCUGUGUCGAUAAUAAACGAAAAUCAAUUACUUAAACAUGAGAUUUUUGUUCCAAUUGCAUAAGCCCUAUUUGGUUGAUUUCAAUAGGGGAGGUGGCUGUGGUGGUCAAGAAAUUAAUCGGUUAAAUGAGUUUCAAUUGACGAAGAGGACGAACAAAGCAGAGAAAUUUGGUCACCAAACCCAAAUACCCAUUCAGAGAUCCGCUGAGCGAAUAAGCAAGAAAUUUCUAACUGAACCGGUAAGAGGCAAUGGGUUUCAUUCAGAUAUCCACACCAAACAUACUUAAUGAGUAAUCUCUUACCGAUUCAGAAAUUAGUGUCCAUUAAGAGCUCAUUAAGAGCAAUCAAACAAGCUCUAAGAGUCGUGAAAAAAUCGCGUAGGCGUGACGUCAUAAUUAUUUUUUGUGGGGUCAGGGGAAAAAAGAAAAAGAAAAAAGGAAAUGAAAUAAAAUUGGCUGUGAAAUGUCAAUCUGAUUUAUUUGAAUUAUUUAAUUUCUGUUCCUCCGUUGAAGAAUUUUGUGCUCUAUAAAUACCGUCCUCAUCCAGCGCUAAGCUCUCAUCCCAAUCCAUCAUCAUAAAAUCUGCUCUGACUUUUUGCGCAACGCCAUUGUUCUUCAUCUUGUGAUCAACUUCUAGAAGAAUCAAUCAAUCAACCAAUCAUGUCUCAGGUGAUGAUAAUUUUGUUUUUUUAUUUCUCCGUUUGAAAAUUAGUAGAAUGAAUGAUUUUGGUUUUUUUUUUUUUUUUUUUUUUUUUUGUUGUUGGAAUUGUUUCACGGAAUUUCCUUAUGUUCGUUAGAUUUGAUUUGUGAUUGUUGCUGGUUUGGCUUGAAACAAGAAAAAGAAAUAAGUGGGGUUUCAAUUUAUCUGAGAUGAAAGGGUGGAGAAAUGAAUCAAUUAGGGUUAGAAAUCGUGUUAAUUUGCUGGUUUAUGCAUACAGAACUUCUGUUGUUUGGGAAUUUAAUUCAUUUAUUGCCUUGACACUUUUAUUUUGGGAUGAUUUUUUUUUUCUUUUAUUUCUUUGAUGAUUGGAUUGUAGCUAUCUUUGCAGCAGAAAAAUGUUAUGAAGGACCGAAACAAUUCGUUUGUAGCUUAAUAAUUCAUUGCGGUUUUUUAUUCUGGUGAUUUUCGGUCAUUUUCCUGAACAUGAUGAAGGGAAGAAUUAUUUAGCUAAAAUUGACAUAACAAGAACUUCAAGGAUUUAUUCGUUAGUUGAUUAUACGUUCGAUUUUUGAUGAUCUUAUAACUAUUUUUUUAUCAAACUGCAGACCGUUGAGCUGAAGGUUGGCAUGUCAUGCCAAGGCUGUGUGGGAGCCGUGAAGAGGGUUCUUGGAAAGAUGGAAGGUUUGUCAUCUUUUUCUAGCUCAGUGAAUAACACGAAGGACUCGAUUUUUUAAUUUUUUUAUGUACAAUUAGAAAUGCUCAUGUUCAAGAAAAAUGUGCUUUUAUCAAUUCCCCACCUGUCCUAUGAAUCUAAAAAGCACGCGUUCUCGUUUCCGAAGAUAGACUUCUCUAAUUGCGUUCUUGAUUACGGAAACAAUAGAGUAAUAGAGUUGAGUUUUGUGAGGUGGGUUUGUUUGGUACAAUAAAUAGCUGCUUACAUUCUGCGAUUUUUUAUGCUUCAAGUCUUGUACAUUCAGAAAUAUUGCUAAGAUUGUGUCUGUAUUGUAACAUAAAGACUCAAUUUAAAUGUGGCUAUACGUUUAUCAUAUUUUGCAGGUGUGGAAUCGUUUGAUAUUGAUAUCGAGAAGCAAAAAGUGACUGUGGUAGGUAAGGUCCAGCCAGAAGCAGUUCUGCAGACUGUUUCGAAGACUGGGAAAGCAACUUCCUACUGGGCCCCACCAGCUGAGGCACCAGCUGCCGCCGCACCACCACCAGCGGCCGAAGCAGAAUCGAAACCUACCGAGACUGUUGCUGUUGCAUGAUAGACUUGUUUAGUCUCUGCAUGCAACUCUAAUCAAAUAGAUUUAAAUACAAUAUUGGAGCAAUUUGGUGUGUAGUAUUUGGGAAACUUGUCUUCGAAUGUAAUUCAUAAUAACUCGUUGCACCUGGUUCUGUUGUACCUUGUUACGAUCUUAUGUACUUUUUUUUCAUGUCUGCAAUGACAAAUGUAUGUCUUCUUGUUCAAGAAUUUCUAUAAUAGUAAUAUUAAUAUUCUGCCGUUCUCCAGGAAAAUAACAAAAAGAAAAUGAUUUUUUUCUCUUUUUUGCUCAAUAAUGUUUAAAUUUGUAUAGAUACACGGAUGUUGGUUUGGUUAGAACAUCGCAAACGAGAUGUUUCUGGCCACUAAUGUAUCAAUCUAGAUGAUUCGUCAGAUCAAUUUAUAAUUUGGCACGAAACUUCCGAAGUCAGGGAAGUAAUGAAGGAGAGGACUUCAAGAAAGGAAACCAGGUAAAGCUAGAACUAUUUUCUCUUUUUUCGUAUCCUUAUAUAUAUAAAAUGAUUUAGUGUCGAAGAUGGGAAAGAAACAUUUAUCAGAUUAUACUUGUCGUAGAACUACACCGAGUGAUGUGUCUGCAUGUGUGGUUGUGAGUUUUAUUUAAUUUUCUAUUUUUGGUUCUCUUUAAAAGCUCGUAAAAAUUGUGGCCGUUUGAAACUUGGUUUGUUCAGGUUCUUCUGUUGGAACUCUUGUCUCGUAGCCGUCAGCAUAAUCNNNNNNNNNNNNNNNNNNNNNNNNNNNNNNNNNNNNNNNNNNNNNNNNNNNNNNNNNNNNNNNNNNNNNNNNNNNNNNNNNNNNNNNNNNNNNNNNNNNNGGUCAGAUUCUCGUCCUGGUGGUCGGGUAGUGGCCACUAUAUGCUGAUACAGACUGAAAGAUGGUACCGUUUUUAAAUUUUAUUUUGGUAACUUGUACUAAAAUUUUAUUGCAUGUAUUAAUUAAAUUCAGAUGUUUUCAGUUAAAUCUACAAUUUUUUUUACCUUGAGCUUUCCACGUUCUGCCACGAGUCUUCCAGCUGCUAGUGUCACACCGCCAGCAAGGAAGCUGGAAUGAUGAAAUUUUCCCUUCUUUUUUCUGGCAAAAAAUAAAAAAAAUAAAAAAAAUUGAAAAAAACAUGGAUUAGUUUGUGUAUCGAGAAAAAUAGUCGUUAUUUGCUGAGAAUAUUCCUUUGUGAUACUGAUCUCACCUCUCCAGCGUAUAACUUGUCAGAUGUGCUCAUCACAAAGAUCCAUUUAGAGCCUGUAACUUCCUCAUUUGUGUCGAGAAGAUAUCCACUUUGCUUGUUCAUUAAUUUACCGUCAACUAUUAUGUAUUCAUAUCGGCCUCUCUCUUGCUUGAUUCAGCCAAAAUGGGAAAGAAAAAAAAAAAAAUCAUGAAUCACCAUUUUUAUUGAGCUGACUUUGACUAUUUUCAAAUAAUUUGACUAUCAUGCUUUAUAGAGCUACAGCACAUGAUCUGUUGAUUGAUGCUUACAGGUCCAAGAUAGGCGAUGCAUUCUUGCCGAAGUUUCGAUCUUGGGCAUUCAUCAAGGUCAACCACUUUGCCUUCUCCAACAUCCAACCUACACAAAGGGGUAAAUAAUUCUUCUGAAUUGAUUCUAAUUAUCUAUUUCUUUUUUUCAUUUCGUAUUUCGCGUAUUGAAAUAAGAAUAACAUUUCUUGCUUGCGUAUAUUAUAGACUCACCAGUAGAAAAAUGGCUGUUGUGUGUCACGUCUGCACCACUCACCGAAAUACAUGCUCAAAUUAUGACCGUAACGAUGCCUCGGAUCAAUCUGUACAGCCAUAAUAGAAUAUGUUUUCUAAAUUCCAAGGGAUGAAAAAAUUCAAAAAGAGAGCAAACUAAAGCUUUCUUUUUCUUACAGCUUCAAUCCAGUGUUGGAAAGCCAAUUUCCGAGCCUUUGCAUCCUUAACUAACCCCUUCCCGACCUGUAAUAUAUUAUUAUAAAUUAAUCCCACUUUCAAAAAGUUAUAAGAAGCCGAUUUUUUUACUGCUCAAAGAAUUGAAGUUAAGAUAUUUCAUGCAUGCCUUUGAAGCAUUCCAGCUGAUCCUGCUCCACCUUGAAGAAGGUUUCUCGGGUUCGAAGAAGUUGAAGAAAGCGGUGGUGCUGCGGUUUAGACGAGCGUACUCUAUUGCUUUCCACCUUUACAUUUAUUAGUCACUCACUCCUCAGAGAUUAUAAAAUUUAUAGAACUGCCACAAUAUAAAUUUCGGAAAAUAAGAAAAGUGCGACUGGAAAAUAAGAAUAACCUACCAGAGCUCUUCAGCUGCAACUGCAGAAUCUGCUAAUCUGCGACGUGUACGAUAACUACGGUACACCUUUUGCAGCUUCACAGCAGCCAUUGUGGAUUCGAAGAAGCCUUUUUGUUGAGUUGACUGAAGAUUGGGUUCCGGAAAGGUUGAGAGAUCCAUUUGUUCAUCCUAAAUUGACAGGUACGGAAGAACAUUAUUUUUUUUUUUAAUGCUGAGUUGUUACUUAUAGAAACACUGAUUGGUUAGAUAUGGAAAUCCCAAUAUUAAAUUGUCAGUUACAACACAGCUCAUAUAUAAAUACAUAUAUAAUCUUGUUCCUUUUUAUUUUAUUUUAUUUCUUUAAUUUUGGGACCAAGAGAGUGAUGUGUCUUAAAAGAACACCUCAACUGCAUGACAUAUAAUUGGCAUUUAUUUAUGUCCAUUAAGUACUUCCACCCUGUUUAUCCCAUACUACUGCACCUACUGAAGCCCAACGUGUAUAUCACCAUCUUCAUUCGUUUACUCAUAAAAAUAUUUACGCACAGAUAGAUAACUUCAUUUACUACAAUAUGUAUGUACAACUGUCUUUGCUGAUAAAGAAAGCAGAAAAAAAAUGAUAUUGAGCAACAUAAAACUUUGAUAGAAAUUUUUGGAAACAAUUGCAUUGACUGAAUCAUUGACUUUUUUCUUUGUAGGAUACGAUGACUCGCUCGUAUUAUGGGAGGAGUUGGUACCUGCAGGCAACAACCUAAAUGCUCGGAUUUGUGGGCCAAUUCUUCAGCAAAGAUUAUCACAAUUUAUGUAUGUAUAUUAUUAUUAUUAUUCACAAUCGAACCGAGUUUAUAUAAAGUUGUUGAAGGUAAUGCCAUUUUUUUUUUCUUUCUUGUGUAUAAACUGUAUUAUUAAUUUUAGGGUAAAUUACAAACACCCCCCUGAGGUAUGGUCAAAUUACAAAAACACCCCUCUUGUUUGGAUAAUUACAACCACCCCCUCAACUCCUCAAAUUUAGUGAAAUCUUCGAGAUUAUAUGGAAUAUUAUCACUUUUGUACCCGUUUUAUCUCAUUCAAACUCUACAUUAUGAAGCAAGAUGAUCAUAAUAUGUGAUUUUUAGCUUGUAUAUAUCUGUUUUUGGUGCAUCAGAAACUAUAUUAUUACACAAAACGAGUACAAACUAGACAAAAUAUCACGGAAUCUAGAUGAUUAUGUUGAAUUUGGCACCAUAAGGGUGUAGGUGUAAGAAAAAAUCAUAGUUGAGGGGGUAGAUGUAAUUAUCCAAACAAGAGGGGGGUUUUUGUAAUUUGACCAUACCUCAGGGGGGUGUUUGUAAUUUACCCUUAAUUUUAAUAUUUGUGUUUUAUGUUUGUAGAAACAUCUUUUGUGGACGGUGUUAGGCAACAACGACACUAGGGAAAGUUCGCCAUCCAACGAAAAGAAAAUUGUUCGAAUGGUUUAUGGUACUUGGCAUUUUUUCAGCAAGUUUGGUUUUUAUUUUGGUAUACCAAACUUUCAAAACUGUUUAGCCUGAUCAGGCUGGUGAUCUCCCUCCAUAUAUUAUUAGGCGGUUUACAGAAUUAUUCUUUGUGUUGUAAAUAAUACGGAAAACAGGUUUUCUUAUUCUAAUCAUUUUGAGGUUUCUCAACCUCUUCUAUCAUUAUGUGUGUAGGAGCUAACGUCCUCGUAACUCCCGCACGUAACUUCUCUCUGUCACUUCCGAUGAUUACCAGCUAUAUAAAUGAGAAAGAAAAAAAUAACAAUUAUUGCUAUUUUUGCAUCCUAUUUUUUUUCUGUUUCUAUUGUUGUUUAUAUUAUACUCUACUACAUUAACUCACAAUUAUCAGACCAAAAAAGCUAGAUAAAAUAGGUCAUUUUACAACAGUUUGUCAACUGUGAUCCAUCGUUUUUCAUAUUGAAGCGUACGAAAUUUAAAAGUUCUUCGAAUUUAUUUUAGAUUUUUAUCAAACUUAAAAAAAUUGUUUUAGCUCGAUUUGAAUUUUGACGAUAAUGUGCUGUUUAAUGCACACGAGCUUAUGAUGACGGAAUGAAGAAUACUUAAAUAAAUAAAUAAAAGCUCGAAUAUAUAUCGGAUUAUUAAACAAAAUAUUGAAAACAAAAUGUAUAUUCGUGUUGCAUGAUUGCAAGCAAUACAUGUCCCGAAUUAAUAUUGUGGAUGACAUCUAAACAUUAGACUCAGCCAAAUAUAAUCGGGUCGAGCCAUCGGAUUUCUAUUAGGCCCCGCCCAAUUGCCGGUCCUAAAUAGUUAAUACUAUUUCUUAACAAUUUUGAUUUUAGUGCAAGUUUAUAUUAAAUAUUAAUGGUUUAAAUUAUUUGAUUAAAUGAUUUUAUAAUAAUAUUUGCAAGUAUGAUAAAGAGUUGGUAAUUUUGUUAAGAAAAAGUAUGAAGUGACAAUAUUAUUGUUGUCAGUUCAAACUUCAAAGAAAAUGUUGUGUUUCUUCACAUUUAUUUAUUAGUUUUUAUUUAUUUAUUUAUAAAUAUUUACUUGUCAGUUAAAACUUAAUAAAGCGAAGGAGCCAAAAUGGAUGUUUCUUCUUCCCAAAUUUGAAACCCUAAUUUUUACUACUACAAAUUCAGGAGUUGCAGAAGAAUCUGACGUGCUUGUUCUUUCUCGAGAAUCGAUUCCCCAAAAUCUUAAGGUAUACUGCUUUUGUUUCGAGAAUAUAAUUUAUUUUUAUAUGGAUUUUUCUCAAAAUCCCUAAAACCUCAAACCCUAAUUACUUUUUUUUUUCUCUGUGCGAUUUGGAUUGGGCAUUGUGCGAUUUCAAUCGGUUCUUGUGCAAUUUUGUGUGGGUAUUUGCCAUUUCAGUUUCCUAUUGCAAUUAGUGUGGGUAUUCUGCGAUUUCAGUUGGUUAUUGUGCGAUUUUGUAUGGAUGUUGAUUUUAAAAUGUUGAUCUUUACACGUUCACAAUUGUUUUUUGUUUUUAUUAUGUGGACAUAUAUUUUAUUUAUGCCUUUUUAUAACGAUUAGGUCAUCUGUGGCACGGGGCAUCCAUAAAAUUACGAUCCUGAGCAUGGUAGCAGUUGUACAAUGUAAAUCCUUUUGUCUAAUAGGAUAACCGUGGAAGGUCAAAUUAUAUCUCGUUCGUCGUUUGUGAAAUUCUCUUGUUACUAAAAAUAGUUGAAGUCACGUCAUUUUUUUUCCCUGAUACCGGAAAUAAUGUUUGUUUGUUUGUUUUUAAUGUGAAAUUGCUAUAUCCUCUGUCAUAAUCUAUAUUUGGUUUCGAACUCAUGUGUUUUUCUCUGUCUAAUACUGAAAAUUGUGUUGAUUCAGAUAUUCUACGAUGGACGUUGAUUUGGAUAUAUUUGAUGACAUUCUUCCCAAUCAACCAGCUGGUAAAAAGAUGAGUUUUGUUGUUUUCCCGUUUUCCCAGAUUUUUAUGGUUUUGCAAUUUUAAUUAAAGCCCAAACUUCCACGUAUUUCCAGCUAGGAAAGUAAAAUUCCAGCCAAAGUCAAAGCCAAAGCCAAAGUUUCAGCCGAAGUCAAAAUCCCAGCCACCAAGAAAGGAGCCUGCAGCAGCUUCAGUUUCUUCAUCCCAAGCCGUACAAACCAUUGGUUCCGCACAGAGUGAAUUAAGCGAUCCUGUGCCGACAACAAAGCUAUCAGACCACGGUUAGUAUUUACCUGACUGAGUGGAUCAGCGUCUUAUUUAUUUGAUAUAAGUUGUGUGUUUUUAUAGUUGCAAUUUUUUGUCCAUUUAAUAGUUAUCACAAUUAGAAGAAUAAAUGAAUAAAUAAUUUAUGUUGGUUCCUUCCAAGUGAUUUCAGGUUCAGAGGUUGUGGCUAACGACAAUGGAGGCCCGCAUUCUACUGCGGAAAAGUCAGUGGGAGAGGUGAGUACUUCAGUUCAAUUUUACCAUUUGUCGGUUUAGUCUGCUGACGUUUAUAUUUCCUUCUUUUUAGAAUGCUGACAUACUUACCGGGUUUGAAUCUCUUGGUGGUGUUCUUCCUCAAACUAAUAGUGACAAGGGUUAGAAAAAACUCCUUUCGGUUGCCCUCUGUUUGUCAGUUUGUUGCUUGACUUCAGCUUAUAUUAGUGGUAAAUAAGACAACUUAAACCCAAUUACUGUAAACUAUGUCACAGAGUGUACAGUUCCUUCUUCAGAGGCAGUGGAUCUUAAUCCUACAACUGCCAGCGAGCCUAUUGUUUCAAGUUGUGAUGGACGUGAUCAUAUACUUGAAAGAGGAUUGGGAAGCGAGGUAAAGAGCCAAAAACUUUAGUGUCUGAGCAUUUUUCUCAACCACUAAAAACACUUCCAAUUCAGUUGAAUUUGGGAUCUAUGUUUAUCAUUUGCAGGAAAAGGAUUCCUUGGAUUCUAUGAACACAACCGAGUUAACAACUAAAUCUGGUAUGUUGAAUUCUGAAUUGACUGCUUUAUGAACUUUCUUUGUAUUUCAAACUUUAAGAUAUAUCCCUAUGGUCCUCGUUAUCUAGGACAGAGAACAGAAAAAAAUCAGCCAGAGCCAAACAUACAAAUGCAUAAGGAGAUAUGUGAAGCCAACGAAUCUGUUUCUGACUCAUUUGGUCCUCAAUCUGUUCCACCUGAAACCGGUUAUGCGGAACAGGAUUCGAUUCCUAUAUCUGAACAAGAUGAUGUUCUUGAUCUUUCAUCCCUAGGAAUUACUCAUACUUUGCCCGAAGAGGGGAAUCUUAUGGAGAUGUCUCAGUUGGAUUCUGAUAUCAAUCUAGAGGGUUUUGCCGAAGUUCCUACAAAACUUGUAAGCUACUUUUGCACAGGUUGAUCUAUUGCAUAUAUUCUUGAACUAAUAUUAUGGUUUUCUGAAAAUUAAUCAAUUGCUAUCUUACACUUAUUAGACUUCUCGCCGGGCAAAGACUGGAAGUAAUAUAAGUCACAGUGAACCAGAUCCUUCGCCACAGCAGCAAAAUGCUUCCACAUCCAAUCAGGAGAAUGAAACUGAUAGAUUAUUACGGCCAAGAAAAGGCAAAACGAAUUUCUGUGAACUAGUAGAUGAGGAUGAGGAUGAAGUCCUUGCUAGUGGGGAUUUUUCUGAAGAGUUUCAUCCCAAUUCUGCUACGGAGGAGGGAAACAUUAAUAAUGAGGAAUUUCAAGUGGAAAAUGAACAGCAAAUGAAAAAGGGGAAGCGGAAGUCUGACAAAACUGACGAUGGAAAACCACCCAGAAAAAGAAAGACGGCCAAGGAGGCAACAAAUCAGGAUGCAGGUGCCAAGCGUAAAAGAUUCCCUCAUUCUACUCGACGAAGACAAGGUACGUGUAACUUUUGAGGUUUAAGAAUUGCAGCUUGUUUUGCUUUCUUAUUUAAUGAACUGACAGAAAACCUUUCCAUAUAGUGGACAAGGUUCUGCUUGAAACUCCUGAAGAUGACAUUGACUACCAAAGUGUGCCUCUUAGGGAUUUAAUAUUGCUUGCAGAGCACAGAGAAAAGCAGACGGUAUGUAUAAUAUGCUUUAGACUUGUUUUAUUUUUAGCCUGGAUCUCGCCACUGCCAUUGGAUGUAUUUAGAAAUUUCAAGGGAAUAUUUCCAGAUACUACUAGUGGAUUGAUAUGUUUAUUUUCCGAAUUCUGAUCAUAUCAUUCACAUUUUUCAGAAAAAAGAAGAGGCAGCAGUACGAGCACAAGCACAAGCAGCGAAACAAAGGUAAUAAUUUCUUAUAUAUUGACCAAAAAUAGAUGCUAAAUGAAGCACGUGAAGAAAUGAGAACUGGGUAUGCCUUGGUGAAGGAGAAUGUUGAGUUUUAUCUUGUAUAAUGUACUAAGAUCUAUUCCUGAACCUGUAGAAACUUUAUCUGUAUUUUAGCUGGACAAACAUGCAUAUAAACUUUUACAUCCUCUUAAUUUUCCUUGAAAAUGUUAAGAGGCUCUCAUUGAUGGUGUAAUGUGAAGGGUAAGAAAGAGUGGGCAAUUAGUUUUGUCAAGAUAUCUUGAGCUCGGUAGAUACUGCACUGAAUAACAUUUCUGAGUUCAAUAUCAGAAGAAACUGCUGAUUAGGGUGCAAUAAUGUUCUUGUAUCCUUGUGGAUUUCAUAUAGUUAGUAGGAAGUUCAAGUGAUGAUCCAAAUAAAACAUGUGGCCCAUGAUCACGGAUUCCAAAAAGAUGAUGAAGUAUGUUGCAUUGUUGUUCAAUACUGAAUGAUAUACAGUUCUGUUUAUUUGUGCUUUGCAGUAAUGGCCUUUACGAUGAAGAAGAUACUUCUAACCAAGAUGGAGAUACAGCUGAAGACACCACCCUCUACUUCAAUUAUCAAACCUACAUGGACAAAACACCCAAGUCAAGAUGGUCCAAACAGGAAACUGAAUUGUUCUAUGAGGUGUGUCUUCCUCGUACUUGUAUAUUUUUGUAAUAGCAAGAACAUCGAAAAUCAUUCUGCAUCUUGCAAUAAGAGUGCAAUUUUUUUUUUUUCGUUCUUAAUUUCUGGUAUUUCCCUUUGGUGUGAAAUUAUUCCGAAAUUUUCUUUAGCGAGUUUUGGUUCGUAGUGAAGAACACAUCGGUAAAGUCUUAAUUUCUGUUUCUACUUAUCUGGUAGGCUAUGGGGCAGUUUGGGACAGACCUUUCUAUGAUACAACAGCUUUUUCCUGGUCGUACUCGCCGACAAAUAAAGCUAAAAUACAAAAAAGAAGAAAGGCAGCAACCAUUGAGGCUUCGUGAAGCUUUGACUAACCGUUCCAAAGGUAGACUUUGCCCUCAUCUAAAUGACGUGUUUGCCCUCAAGCAAUGACGAUUAUUAUUAUUAUUAUUUUUGUUGGAAGAGUAAAUAUCUCUAGGAUAUUCUGAGAAAUUGGGAAAUUAACCGCUCUGUUUUUUGUCUUUUUAAAAUGUUUGGAACUCCUCAUUUUUGCAGAUCUUUCCCAUUUUAAAAGGGUGAUAGAGAGCUUAAAGCAAAAUGCAGCUGAAGAAAAUGAGAACGCUGAUAAAGACGACUUAACGGAUUUGUGGGGCAAUGAAGAAGAGGCAGAUGAGGGGACCUCCAAUGCUGAUAAAGAUGACAUGUCAGAUUUGAAAGGCAAUGACGUGGCAGAUGAGGGGAUCUCGAAUGCUGAUGUAUUUCUUUCAUUUGCUGUUCUACUAAAUUUAAAUCUCUCAAAGCAACAAUUUACUAUUAUAAUUAGGGUAGAUUACGGAAACUGCCAUUGAGGUUUGCUUUUUUGAUGACAUUAUGAAGGAUGAAGAAGCAAAAGAUGAGCACAUUGAGGAAGAAAAGAAUGAGAACUCUACUGAAGUCCAAAACCCUUUGGAGCCAGAUGAUGAAGAUGAUGAUUUGUUCCUAUGGAGCCAGUAUAAGAGCGACACCUGACUAGUGCUAAUCAAGGUACACAUAUUCAAUAUUGAAGAAACUGAUUUAACGUAAUGUUUUCUUUAUCCAUAAUUUCCAGAUAUGCUUCUUAUCGUGUUUAUUGUUCUUGAGUAUAGAAAAAAAAAAAAACUGGAAGAUGUUGAAAUUCAAUUCAGGCUAAGCUGGCUUUGCAUUUGGAGUGGACUUGUUUUACUUUUUAUUCGGAGACGAAUUCGAAAGAUAUAUGUCGUCAUCCACACUGAAAGUUUGACGAUGUUUGUUGGUUUGAAUUGCAGAUUCGAAACACGCAAAUGCAGACUAAGCUGAUUGUUGUGCAAUUUUUAGAAGUGCAAUUUCUGAAGCUUUGUCCGAGUUGGGAGGCUACUAUCUUGUAGUUUAGGCUUACUGCAAGUUCUUUUCGGAAAUAGUAUAAAUUUACAGCAACCUUCGUAGCACAUAUGAUCCCGAUAGUUUUUUAUCACACAUAUCAAAAAAAUUAUUUUCAUUAUAGCUAUCAUUUUUGGGAUUUUGUUCAUAGGAAUUUUACAUGUACUGGGGCAAUACUUGGAAUAAUUUUAAUAAGAUAUAUUGCCUAUUGGCAUUUUUAUGACUUCUUAAAUCUUCCUCAUAUUUUUUUGAAAUUAAUUAUUAAAAUAUAUAAUAACAAAAACAAUUUUCUAAUCAACUAAAUUUGAAAUUUAUCAAAGAAUGAAUCCCAUUCAAACAAUUCCAAAUGCUACAUAUAUACAUGUAUAUAUGUAUGUAUGUAUACAUCACAAAAAUAAUCCAUAAUCAAGAAAAAGAGCAAAUUCAAGAGAUGACAGUACUUAAUGAACAAGGGUCACAACUUCAACAAGUUCCCUUGUUCCUGAUGAUUAUUAAAUUAUUAUUAUUUUUUUUUAAAGGAAAAGAAAAAUACUAUGGCUUCUGUCUGCUACAAAAUAACCAUGCUCGAUUUUUCCUACGACGCUUGUCUGGUUCCCCUCGAAACGAGUUCCCGCUCAAUCUGUAGCCCAAGUAGAAUAAAAAAAUAAGUUACAACAGAACAAGAAAGCAGAUUGUUUCCAUAUCUACAAGUCCAGAAAUCUAUAUAUAUAGGUGUUCUGUAUCUAUACAUCAAUAUUGAUCUUUGACCUAAUAGUAGAGCAUCAAUCUCUAAAUUUUCAUCUCGUUUCUAAAUAAAACCGUAGGUUAUGGCCAAACAAAGCACGUAAGAUAACAAUAAAAGAGUCGGACAAAAUAUAUUAUUCCUCACCUUGAUAACGCCGUCGAACUGUUCAUGCAGACUCUUGUAUUCAUUGUGUACAACAUUCAACACCUGGAGACACCUGCGUAUAUUGAAACGAUCGUAAGAUAUAAUAACCCUUCGUUAGUUGGUAAAGUCGUGCAUUAAUUUUACGAUCCAAUGCUGUAAAACUCAUACUUAAUUAUCGUGAGAUAAUGAAUGUCAUCUGAAUUAGAUUUUGACUUCCGAUAUAAUGAAGUUACCAAAAAAAUGAAAGAGCCCGAAAAUAAAGAACACGUAGUGCUAAUUGAGUAGUUGAGUUAGCCAAUUAAUUGAUUACGACUCUCGUAAAGAUUAAAUAUCAUUUAUCAUUGAUCGAAUCUCCUAAUAUUCAGAUUAUCAUUUUGAUUUUCAUUAUUUCUCCGGAUUCUUGUUCGUCUUCCUACGGGCUAAAGGUAAAAAAAAAUUCUUUCGAUUUUACUGAAUUCCAGACCAGAUAUAUAAGCUCAGGAUAUCAUAUUGAUGGAGAUUAACGACUUUUACCGACAAUAACAAACAAAAUCGAAUAAUUAAAAAAAAAAAGUAGUGCAACUUCGGAAAAAACCGUACCCGUCUUUGGAAUUGCUCUCGAUAGCAUGACGUAUUUUGAAACAUGCAUCUUUAAUUCGACAAGCACCGAUACUGUAAAACAAAUAUAAUACAAGAGCAUGCAUAAAUAUGCGUUAGGAUAUCUCUCUCGUAUUUAAGCAUUCAAAUUAAAAUACACAUUUAACGAAGUCCCCGAAAAAUUAAAUAGAGAAAAACGGGCACGAAAAAACGAUCUCUUUAUCUAUUAAAUAUAUGUUAGGGAAGAGAAUAAUAAAGUAUGAAAUAAUACCAUGAAGAACUUCCUUUAAGCUUGAUAUGAUGCGAAUACAUUUCAUCGUAGUUCACAACUGGUUGAGUCCUAGUAAAUAACGAACAAGGAAAAACCAAAUUUCACGCGUAAAAAAAUACGUAAAAUACAAAUGCCAGCACACAAUAUAUAUCUAUAUACACAUAUAUAUAGUGAGAAUUUAGACAUACAAUGUUUUUGCCAUAGCUCUCACCACCGUGUGAACAUCAUCGAGAAAUACGACAAUCAGGUCCAAGAAAAAUGUCAGACUACUGAUCUCUUUCAACAAGUAGCACUGUCGAAAAUUGUGAUCUACCAAACCCUACAAGCAAAUAUUAAGUAAAUCAGUCGUAUAACGCAAAAACCGAAAAUUUGUGUUUCGACCUAUUUUCCAUCCCAAGAAAUGAAGUAAAAGGCUUAAAUAUAAUAUCUCAAUCGACUCGAAAACCGUAGACUUGUAUAUGCAUGAACUUACUAAUCCGACAAACAUAUAAACAUCGAUAUAUAAACAAGAUAAACGAGCAUAUCCGUAUUCAUAAGUGAUGUCGUUAACAUUAACUCGUUUAUGUCCCGAUUAUUACCCUCGAUGUUAGAUCGUAGGCCCCCCUUUAUCCCACUCAAUCAAUAGAACAGAAUCAACUCAAAAUUACUCAAAAAUUAAAAAUUACUUAAUUAGUUUAACUUAAUUAAGCUUAAAUUUCAGAUCAAACCAUCUCAAUUAAUUCAAAACCCAAUUCAACAAGAUGAAUAUGAAUAAAUAAAAAAUAAAAAAUAAAAGAUCCACAAUAGUAAAAUCAUAAAAAAGAAAAGUAAUUAAGAAAAAUUAAAAACACUAAUACUUUUCGUUCGAGUUCUUGAAUGCGAUCGAGCAGCAUUCGGUUGAGUGAGUCUGUAUCCAUCUUCUUCAAAUCCAUGCUUCAAACAAAACACACACAUAAACACACAGUCAGAUGUGGGCUUCUCUCUGCAUGCCUAUAUAUCAACCAAAAAUAUAUAGAUACAAAUACACACACACACACAUGCAUGAAAUCUGUGGAGAGAGAGAGAGAGAGAGAGAGAGAGAGAGAGAGAGAGAGAGAGAGAGAGAGAGAGAGAGAGAGAGAGAGAGAGAGAGAGGUGUGCUCACGCUAUGCAUUUAUCGGUUGGGACAAAUUCUGGUGGAUUUUGUACUUUCCGGGGCAUCUUUCUAGGCUGUACCGAUUGCCGGAAAGAUGAAAAGUACGGCGUCGGAAGUUUGUCCUCUCGCCGGAGCAAAACUCUGAAAGGGUUUUAUUUUGUGAAUGUGGAGGUGCAUAGAUUCUGAACUGGAUUUAUUCUUGGUUAUUAUAUACUUAUUUAUUAUUUUAAUUAAUUUUGUUGUAAUUAUUAUUUUUAUUUUAUUUAGGCAUCUUAAGUUAAUUAUGUCUAUCGAAUUUUAAAAAAGGAAGUUUUCAUUUUUACCCCUCUUAACUGCCUACGUGGCUUAUUCUAAGAGUUCCCUUAAAAAGAAAUUAUUGCAAAAAAUCGAAAUUAUUCAACUUUGAAGCUUCAUAUACAUUAUAUAAUUAAGGGUAAAUUACAAAACCCCCUGAGGUAUGGUGAAAUUACAAAAAACCCCUCUUGUUUGGAUAAUUACAUCUACCCCCCUCAAUUAUGAUUUUUUCUUACAUCUCCACCCUUAUUGUGCCAAAUUCAAUAUAAUCAUCUAGAUUCCGUGGAAUGUGCUCUAGUUUGUAUUCGUUUUGUGUAAAAAUACAGUUUCCGAUGCACUACAAACUGAUAUACACAAGCUAAAAAUCACAUAUUAUGAUCAUGUUACUUCAUAAUGUAGAGUUUGAAUGAUAUAAAACGGGUACAAACAUGAUAAUAUUUCAUAUAAUCUCGAAGAUUCCACUAAAUUUGAAGAGCUGAGCGGGUGAUUGUAAUUAUCCAAACAAGAGGGGUGUUUUUGUAAUUUGACCAUACCUCAGGGGGUGUUUGUAAUUUACCCUAUAAUUAAUAAUAAAUAAUUUAGCUUAAAAUACAUUAUUUCUAAAAAAAGAUUUUUUUGUAGCCACUAAAUUAAUUUUAUUAUUAAGUUAUCCCUUCAAUCCUUCCUCAAUCCAAAUGCAGUAUUAAAUAUAAGUGAAUAUUUUCUUGACAAAUUAUAGCAAAGUUCUUUACUAACAAUUCCCAAUUAAAAAUAACUGUACAAUUAAUGGAACGCAUUCACUAGAUGUAUUAUAUAUUUUGUGUCAUGUUCAUAAUUAGUUAUUAAAUUAUAAUUUUCCUUUAUUCAAUCUGGUUAGAUUCACUUCAAAUAACAUGCAAUUUCCUUUAUUAUUUGGUGUAUACAAUUUCAUUAAACUACUAUUCUCAUUUCAUAUACUAUGGAAGUAUUGCAAGUAUAUGUGGAUUGGUUUUGAAUAUAUAUUUUUUAAACUAUUGUUUCGACUUUUUCAAGAUUACAAAAUUAUACGUGAUAAGAUGACCAUUGCAUCCCUGAAUUAUGGGGUGUGUCGUAUACACAUUUUUCAAUUACGAAACAUAUCAAAUAUUCUUCUAUGUUUUCUAGUCAAACUUACAAAAAAUGUAAAUACAACAGUUUUACAAUGUUUUGCUAUGCAAUUAAAAUCUUAAAUCCUUUUUUGUCACAAAAUUAUGCCGAUCUGGUUUUGUAGAUACUACACUCGGUGAAAUGCAUUGGAUGAUCUUGCACUAUUGACCUAUAAUUCAACAUAUAAUAUCUCACACACAUUUAUGUGUAUGUAUGCUUAGUAGGUGAUUAUUUGUAUUAUGCGGUAGUGCAAAAUCACCUGAUGUUUUUCACCAGAUGUAGCAUCUCAUAGACCGUGAUAAGAUGGCCACUGAAAGCUUUUAAAAAAAUUAGUUGUCGUUUUUCUUUUCUGUAAAAUUUAGGGCUGACAAUCGGGUCAUGUGAACCGAACUUAAAUUGGCUCAGCCACACAUACCAUCGGAUCUCAUUAUUAAAAUUAAAACCACCCAUUAAAUCAAGGAAAAUAUACUAACAAUGCCAAUAGAAUUUUUUUCUCAAAAAAUAAAAUAUGAUUACACUCAAUUAAAAAAAAAUCAUAAUAAACUUCAAAAAUAAUCUAUAUUACCAUGAAAAUGAUCAUCAUUAUCAGAUGAAACAAGGGCCCUACGAUUAAAAGGCGUUGGGAUAUACGGUGGUUUAGUGCACCUCAAAAGUGACCAAUUUACCCCUCGAAAGAAUGGGUGGUCCUUAAUCGCCGCCGCACCCAUGGUGGACCCCAUUCUCUUGGUCGGCUCCUUGUUCAGAAGCCGGCUUAUCAAGUCCUUAGCACCGGCUGACACAGCCGGCUCCUUAGGGAACUCGACCCCUCGAGCCACAAUGUUAGCCAGUGUGAACUCGUGCUCCGCCCCCCUAAACGGCGUCGUCCCGUACAGCAGCUCGUACACCAGCACCCCCAGCGUCCACCAGUCCACGCCGCUGCCGUGCCCCUCGCCGGAGACUAUUUCCGGCGCCAGGUACUCGUGCGUCCCCACGAACGACAUUGAUCGAGCCUCCACCGGCUCCGCCACUAUCUUUGGGGUUGUAAUUAAUCCGCCGCGGCGGUGCUUGACCCGCCGGCGCCGCCGCCGGAGGAGGCGGGGGGCGCCGCGUGGCAAGACGCAGUUCGGCAGGAUGCAGGACGAGAGGGAGAACAAUCGUGGGCGGCCGCGGCCGUCUGCACUGUUGCGAUCGUCCGGCGGCGGCGCCGGCGACGGCGGAGAAUAAUCGUAGACGAUUGUUGGUGUCGAUAAUGAGUUGUAGUCGCAUUUUAAAGAGAGGUCGAAAUCGGUAAGCAUUAUGUGGCCGUCGUGCUUCACAAGCACGUUUUCUGGUUUUAAAUCACGGUAUAUUAUUCCCACCAUGUGUAGGUAUUCAAGCGCCGCCACCACUUCUGCUGCAUAAAACCUGAUCAUUAAAACUUUUUAAAUCAAUAUACGAUCGGAAUUAACAAAAUCUAUUAAUUUAGUGAAAUAUUAAAUUAUCCAAGUAAUAAUUUAAUAUAUUUUUAUCGAUUUGGGAUCGGAAGAAAAUAUUGUUUAAGUGAUAUUCUUAAUUUAUGGAGGUUCUACUGUAUAUUCAUUAUUAUAUUGCAAUAAUAUUCGUAAGAACGUAAGUAUUAUAUAUAUUAAUUAUUAUUAUUAUUAUUAUUAUUGCUAAUUUGCUUAACCAAUUGUUAUAUAUUAGAAAUUUAUGUUACAAACUUGUAAAGAUUUAAUCACAAGUGUAUAUGAAAACACUUGCUCACCGGACAGCAUCUUCAUCGAACCUCUUCUCCGGCUGGCGUUGCCGGAGGACGUGAAGGUCGCCGCCUGGACAAAACUCCGUCAACAAACACGACCACUUACGGCAAUCCAGCGUCGCGUAGAGUGAGGGCAAAAAGGGAUGAUCCAACAUUUCGAGUAUUUCCCUCUCUACCCCUGCCCUACUCUCUUUAUUCCUAUAAGCCAAUUCCUCUUUAUCCAUCACCUUAGCUGCAAACAACUCACCACCACCACCGCCGCCGCCGCCUCUAAGCUCCACUAGGUACACGGUGCCUAUAUCGCCGCUCCCCAACCGUUGCACAAAGUUGAAGUCAUCAAGCACGAGGUUCGACAAGUCGUUGUCGUGCUUCAAAUUCUUGUCGAGCUCACUGCACUCGGAAUCGGAACUCGUAAUAAAUUCAAUUUUUAUAUCGGACGCGAAACUCGUACAAUCGAGAUUAUUCAUCUCGAUACUGUUUUUGACAUCUGCAUCGAAUUCAUCACCAAAAUGUGCGUUGAAUUCGAUGCACGACGACAUGGUUGUACAGGUGGUGUCAGAGCUUAAGUUAGUACCAAAUUUGGAUUCCAUAAGUAUAUUUUUAUUUUUUAUAUAUUUUACAUAUAUAUCUUAAUAAUUAAAGUUUGUAAUAAUAAUAGAGUACAAUUAAUGAAGAUAUAUAGUUGGGAAUGUGUUGGGCCGGCAGUUAUGAGAUUGGGUCAUUCUGCCGGCUACUUGAAUUCAGUCAUGGCCCAUACGUGCCCUUAAGUUUUUUGGCUUCUUUUAAAUAGUUUAAUUAAAGUAUAUAUCAAAUUAUUUUUUUUAUUAUUUUUAAAGUGCCGAAUGUACGAUAUAUUAUGCAUCCAAAUUGAACUGAAAAAUUCAAGCAUGUCGUUAGCGAAAUUGGUAUCGUAGGGCCCGUUCGAUUAAGCUUACUCUGACAUCUGAUAUGAGAGCUGAAAAAUUGUUACAUCUUAUUUUUAAAAUUGAUAUUUAAAGUGUUUGAACACUUUUACUUAUUAUAAAAUCUUAACAAAAAAAGUUGCAAUAGAGGUAUUUUAAAAUUGCCAUUAAAUGAAUUAAUUGUUUAUUUCAUGAGGAAAUUGAAAUCAACAAACAAACAUUGGGGAAAAAACAAAAUGUAAUUAAAAAAAAUUAAAAUAAUCUUGAAAUAUAUUAGUCUUCCAAAUGUUUGUCUCAUGGCCAAGUCUUCUAUGUUUUAAAUCCAGGUCACGUUACAAUAAUUUGACCAAGUGUAAUAAGUCGGGCGAGAUCAAUUUAAAAUUAAGGGUAAAUUACACCCACACCCCUGAGGUAUGCUUAAAUAACUUUAAGGUUCCUGUGGUAUCGAUAAUUACACUCACCCCCUUGAAACGUAGUUAUAAACUCUCAUGGGAUAAUGCAUUGGAUACGUUAUUACGAUAGAGUUCUAACGGACUAUUGGUUUCAGGAAGUGGUGGAGACAACAAAGAGUUAUGGGUGAAUUAAGAAAUAUUGGGGGAGCCAUGUCACCCCAUAACUCCCCAUAACUCUAUCUUAUCUCCACCACUAGCUAAAAGUAAUAGUCCAUUAGAACUCUAUCGGAAUAAUGUAUCCAAUGCAUUAUCCCGUUAGAGUUUCUAACUACGUUUCAGGCGAUGAGUGUAAUUAUCGAUACCAUAGGGACCUUAAAAUUAUUUAAGCAUACCACAGGGGUGUGGGUGUAAUUUACCCUAAAAUUAAUUAAUAUAAAACAAAAGGCAUUUCGUGGAUGUUUUUUUAUUUAUUUCAUAUCAUCACUUGUAACAAUAUGAUACAUUUAAAGUUGGUCUCUUAUGCAAAUAUCUAAACUUUAUAUUCCUUAAAAGACCCGAAAUUAUAACCCAUGUAAUUGAUAAAAAUUAAAAACUAAAAUUUAAAAAUUAAAAAUAAAAAAAAAACUAAAAAAAAAAUUAAAAAAUAAUGACAAUCCUUGUGAAAUUGGAUCAAAAAUUAUUAGUGGGUGGAUUGGGUCACCGUACAAUGUCGAAAAGCCCAAUGCAGAUGGGUUGCAGCCCAGAAACUACUAUUUCAUUGUUUUGGUUUUCUUAUUUUGCAAUUUUUAGCACUUAAGCCCCUUGAGUUUGAGCUUUAUGCACAUGACCCCCUGGUACUUUUAAUAUAAGCACAUGACCCCAUGUAGUUUGAACUUUACACACAUGACCUUCUUGUUCUUCUAAUAUAAGCAUAUAACCCCCCUAUGGUAUUCAACUUGUUAAAUAAUCAUGUUCAUUAGGACGAUGAAAUUUUUGAAAGUAAAAAGGGGGUGGUUGUGUGCUUAUAUUAAAAUACAAGGGGGUCAUGUGCUAUAUUAAAAGUACAAUGGAGUUAUGUGCACAAAAUUCAAACUACAAUUGGGUAAAAUGCUAUUUACCUUUUUUUUAAGAAGCUUAUUUACUAUCUGCAUUAUUGCAAUGAAUUUCUUACGGAUCGAGCAUUGUUAAGGGGAGAUUAGAUAAUAGUCCCUAGAUGUGGACAAUUUGCUAAUAUUGACCCGUAUAUUUUUAGUUUGAUGAAAGUUCACUCGAUCACACAACGAACUGACAGGGAAAAAAAAAAACUGAAAAGUAGUUAUAUGAAACAUGUCAAUUUUUGCAAUCUGAUGUCGUUUAUAACUUAAAAAUUUUAUGAAAAUUGGCACUAAACUUGUUGUGCUUCGAGUGUUUAAAAAAUACAUAACAGUACACUUAUAAAAACAAGCAAAAAACUUAUGUACUUCUGAAAAUUUGCUGUAAAUUUAUGAAAAUCGACAGUAAACUUAAGAAAAAAAAUGAAUAUUUUAACAAAAUAUAAAAAUGAACUUUUAAAAGAUGGCAAGAACUUGUAGAAAUUGGCGGUAAAGUUUUGAAAAUAUAUUGGUAAUAGAUUUCAGAAAUCAACUACCAAUUGAUGGUGAACUUCUGAAAUCGAAAGUGAUACAACUACAAUGUUACAACUUACAUUUAUAGCAUGGUAUAUAUAAUUGAAGGGCAUGUUAAUUAAUGUGAAUAAAGAAUUAUCAACUUAUUAUUUUCUUGAGUUAGCAUAGAAUAAACGAAUUGCUCAUGGAAUAUUCCAUGUUAGUUAUUGGUCAAGAUGAGAAGAAUAAGACCAAAAAAUCAUGGUUCAAAGUUGUCGACUAAAACUAUUAUAUCAUUAUUUUUAAAUUUAUUAUUAUAUUAUUGUCUUCUUCAAUUAUUUCCCACUACAUAUGACGGAAUAUUAAAAUGACACUAUUCUUAACUUUAUAUUUAUUUUCAAAAUAUAAUAUAUUAAACUUAUAGAAAGUUUCAUUUUUUGUACUAAUAAUUAAUAAACAACUUUAAUUUACUAAAAUUUGUACCUAGUAAAAAUAGCAUUGUUGAGUUUACGGCCGGCCUCUCGGCUAGAAGGUUGUUUGCAACGAGUUAUUUGAGUGAUUAUUUAUUGUUGACCUGAACAUAAUCACAUAAAUACGUAUGUAUACGUGUGUUUAAUGGGUGAUUAUUUAACCAAGUGGUAUUUUUAUUUAUUACUAUUACUGUUAUUUAUUUAUUUUUUAUUUCGAUUUUGCACCCUUGGCAUGAAUAAUUCUUAGUGGCUGCUAAUUGAAAUGGGCUCCAUCUUAGUGCUUUGUUUAAAAGGGAGGAAACGAGUGGGAAUAUAAAGGGUUUAGCGGUUUGCAACGGAGCUCCAUCUAUAUCGCAUCUUAUGUUUGCCGACGACACAAUUAUUUUUUGUAAUGCAAACAAGCACUCGGCAGAAACGAUUAAUUAUAUACUUGAGGUUUAUGAGAUGGCGUCGGGACAAAAAGUUAAUUUCCAAAAAUCGAGCAUUGUAUUUAGCAAAUCGUCUAAGAAUGAAACGAUUGAAGAAGUUAAAGGUGUACUUCCGAUGGAAAUUGUGGAGAAACACGAUAAGUACUUAGGUUUACCAGCUGCUAUCGGUAAAUCAAAGAGGACCAUAUUUUCCAACAUAAAAGAUAGAGUGUGCAAGAGGCUUAAAGGAUGAAACGAGAAAUGGUUAUCCAAGGGGGGGAAGGAAAUUUUGAUUAAGGCGGUGCUACAAGCUAUUCCGGCAUAUGCUAUGAGUUGUUUCAAAUUGCCAACCUACUUUUCUAAGGAUAUUGAACAACUGAUGAAUAAAUUUUGGUGGGAGGAUAGCAAAGGGCAUGGAAUUCAUUGGUCUAAGUGGAGCAAGUUGUGUAAAAGCAAGCAAUCAGGAGGGCUUGGAUUUAGAGACUUGGAGGCUUUUAACAUGGCACUCCUUGCUAAACAGCUAUGGAGGCUGCUCACUACACCCAACAGCCUGUUGGGACGCAUCUUUAAAGCAAGGUAUUUUCCAAAUUCGGAUGUGCUUGGUGCUAAACUUGGCCCAAACCCCUCAUUCACUUGGCGAUGCAUUUUGGGAUCUAAAAGGAUUCUCGAGGCUGGUCUUCGAUGGCGAGUUGGUAAUGGCAAGUCGAUACUGGUGUGGAAAGAUAAGUGGCUUCCUAGUGAAGUCACUUUCCGACCUAUUUCACCAAUGGGGAGUUUCCCUUCCGACUGGAAGGUUAGUGAUCUUAUCCUUAAUAACACUAAUCAAUGGAACGCGGAGUUACUUCGGGAUUGCUUUGUGGAGGAAGAUAGGAAAACUAUACUCUCAAUUCCAUUAGGACGGGCUUGCAAUGGGGAUACACAAGUUUGGCACUAUGAGCGUAAUGGGAGGUUUACAGUUCGUAGUGCUUACCACCUUGCCGUUCGGCUGGAAAAUGAAAGAGCGAAUCAAGCGGCGAGUAGCUCCUCUGGUGCUUUACUUAAUACAUGGCAAUGGGUGUGGUCUAUGAGUGUCCCAAAUAAAAUUAAAUUUUUUGUUUGGCGAGUUUGUAAAAAUUUGUUGCCGACUAGAACUAAUUUGCGGCGACGUAAGGUAACAUCAGAGUCUUGUUGUGGAAUAUGUGGAGCUGAUGAUGAAGACUUGCGGCAUUGUUUUGUGUUAUGCUCCUUUGCGAGGCAAGUUUGGGCUUUGAGUAAUAUUCCUUGGAGCGUGUAUCAGUGGCGGGGGAACGAUAUGGUGGAUUGGUUUGCUAACAUGCGAAAAUUGACGGAUACCGGAGGUUUUGAGAUGUGUGUGACUGUUUGUUGGGCUAUUUGGUUCUAUCGCAACCGCUUCUUAUUUGAAGACGAAGAGGUGGACGCUCUUACUACUAUCUCACUCGCGCAAAAAUUUAUGAACCAGCUUCGACAACCCUCUGCUAGAGUUUUGUCAAAUCAGGCUCUAAGAGUAACGUCCGAUAGUCGAUGGUUGUUGCCUAGUACGGGCGUCAUUAAAAUUAAUUUUGAUGCAGCCGUUAACGCCAAUGAUGGAUUAGUUGGUGUGGGGAUCAUUGCUCGAGACCAUUGUGGUGGUUGUGUGGGUUGGAUGUCGAUUUGCAUUCAUCAGCCUCUAGAUCCUACUUCAGCAGAAGCAAAAGCAGCUUUGCUGGCGGUUGAAUUGGCUCGGGACAAAGCCUGGCGGAAAGUGGUUAUUGAAGGCGAUUCUACAGUGGUCAUCAAGGCGAUUGAAGGCGAGGACGAGGAUCGAUCGCCAUAUGGAAAUCUUAUUGCGGACAUUCAUGCUAUUAUACCAUGUUUCGAGGUUUUCUCUACUCUCCAUAUCCGUCGGAAUGGGAAUGGUGCUGCUCAUACUUUAGCUCAGUUGUCUUUUAAAGAUCCGACUCUUUCCGGUUCUUUGCCACUGGAAAUUCAAAACAUUGUAAUAGUUGAAUCAAUGCUCAGAUAUGAAAAUUUUCUUUUCUCAAAAAAAAAAAAUUGAAAUGGGCUCCACAUAAAUGGAUAGGGGUUUGAAUUGGGUGUCACACAAAUUAAUAUUUAAUUAGGACUUAUUGGCUUUAUUUUGACCACUGAUUUGGAAUCUAUACAACUCAUUAUUUUUUAUCAAUUUAUGGAAAAUAACACGUUGGGUCCUAUUAUUUUUAUAAUUUGGAAUUAGUAAAAAUUAAUUAAAAUUAUAUAUAUUAACUAGCAUGUUGAAAAUGUCUGUGGUUUUAAAAAAAUCAAUUGGUUGAAAUUCAAUGCAUACUUAAUAAAUCACACACACAUAUGUAUAUAUAUAAUCAUAAAAAUAUAUAUACAAGAAUCUACACACAUAUAUGAUAUAAACUAGAAUAUGCAACCUUAUAAAAUUCACUGAAUGUAGCAUUAAAUAAACUAUUCGGACAAAAUUGUAUUUGAAGGGAAAAUAAUCACCAACCAUUUAAAUUUAAUUUAAUGUAAAUUUUAGAUAAUAUGAUACGAUCAUUAGUUUCGAUGGUGUAUCUAUUGCUAUAUACCCAUUAAAUGACAUUUUAAUGAAACUAUGACAUUUUCUAUCAUAUUUAAUGACAUAUAUAACUUCAAUUUAAGUAUUACCACAUUACAUCUGAGUAGUGGGGUGGGGUCGACCAUAAUUGCUAGUUAGAGGGUGUUCGGUUAAGCUGUUAACAAGUUGUUGAAAAGCAAAAAUAACUCUACCCAACUUUUUUUAAAAAUACUAUAACGAGUAAAAAUAACUUAUAAGAUCACUAUCCUAACAUUUUAAAAAAUAAUUAAAAAAAAUAAAACGUAUAACUUAUCAGAUUUAAGAACUUAUCAGCAGCUACGCCGAACAAAUUAGGCCAAACGGACCCUUAUCGUGCCCAUAACGCUAUGGGCUAAUUUAAUAGCCGCAAUAGUCGUGCACAUAUGAUAGUGACUGCUGACUUAGCCUUAAAUAUCAACUGACCUUUUUUCUUAGAUUUUUUAUUUUUAAACUUUAAAUUUAACAUUCUAUCCUGUUACCCUGUAGGUAAAAAAAUAAAAUAUGAUUCUUGAUUUUAUCCUCUAUUUUUUAUAUAAACUCCAAAUUCUCUAUUUUUAAUAUAAUGUUGGAUUUGUAUAUUUUCAAUAUUAAAAGUGAAUAUAACUUGAAACCAUAUUUGGCAUGUUCCUUGACCUUCCCAUUACGCCAUUGCUCAACCUAAUUAUUUAUUAGUCCUAUUGCAAAUUCUUCAAGUGUUUUCAUUGUUGAGAUAAUAAAAUAAAAUAAAUAAUUUAAAACUCUCAAAUAAAUGCACAUAAUACUCUUCUAGAUGGUCAACCCUUUGACUAAUUCAAUCUUCUAGACGGCUAAACGUUUCUGAGAAAAUAAACUUGUGAUUUGGGAUUUUGUUACCCACUUGAUCUAUUAUUCUAAAUUGGCUGCUAUUUCUCUAAUAUUUGCCCAACACUAUUUCAAGAUUAAUCUGUCAAGAGUUCCUUUCCCUUUUACACACUGUACUGUGUGUGUGUGUGUGUGUGUGUGUGUGUGUGUGUCCCACAACAAAUAUAUAUCAAGAAUAUUUAAAUUCUCAGUUCUUAGUCGUAGUGUACACACUUUGUGAGAAUAAACAAAACCCCACACCAAUAGAUUAAGUUUUAAGUUUUAACACUUUUUUAAUUAAUUGGUGUUUUUUUUUUUUUUGUAUUAGUGGGGGAAGUAUAAUAAUAAUAAUAAUUAUUAUUAUUGUUAAUAGUGGUUUAUUUUUGAGCCGCCUUGCAUUUCUCUCUCUGCAGGCUGCUGCACCACUUGUAUUAGUAAUAUAUAUUCAUGCUCAUGCAUAUUCUUGAAAGUAUAUAAUCACAUGUGCCGGAGGGAAUUCAUUUAAAGACUCGAUUUUUAUUUUAUUUUUUUUGUAUAUGGGCUUGAGGGGAUUCGCUUAAAGGAUUGAUUUUUGUUUAUGGGUUCUUGAUUCAAGUGAGUUUCCUUUAUCUUUCUCUUGAUUCAAGUAAAGAAUUUUAAUUUUUUUUUGCACAUGGGUCCGAUUAAACAAGUAUUUCCUAUUCUGCUUUUUCCUUUUUUUUUUUUUUUCUUUUUUAAUUUAUUUCAAGAAUGUCUGAUGAUCUCUGUGUUAUUACAUAUUAUUAAGGUUUGAGGUUGUUUCCUAUUGAAAAGAUCUGAAUUUGUGGUUACAUAGAAAGAAUGAUGUUUGCUGCAAGUUUAAGAUUGUCGGUGUACUUCAAACUUGUACAAUCAAUCUUCUAAAAAGAUUGGAUUUUUGAUGUUUUAGAACCUUCUUUUGUUGCAGCUUUAUUCAAACAAGUACCACCAAAACUAGAAAUUGUUCCCAAUUGUGGGAUUUGAAUUAGGGAAGAGGUGAAUCUUGGCAUUGAAGUCGAAAACCAUGGCGGCACUUGCUGCGGAGGACUUGGCGGCAGCCAGGUCACUCAGCCGCAGAUCCGCCAGUCGGCGGAUCAGUUUCGCAUCUGUGAGCACUAGGAGUUGGGCUUCGGCUAGUGUGAGGGAGGUUUUCACUGCACCGGGGCAAGAUGCUUUUCAGAGAAGUGGGAGAGAAUACGAUGAUCAAGAGGAGCUUAUGUGGGCCGCCAUUGAGAGGCUCCCGACUUACGAUCGUACGAGGAAAGGUAUUCUCAAGCAAGUGAUGGAUGACGGUAAAAUCGUUCGCGAGGAGGUCGAUUUUGCCAAUCUCGGAAUUCAAGAAAAGAAGCAUCUACUGGAGAAUAUACUCAAAGUUGUUGAUGAUGAUAAUGAGAGGUUCUUGCAGAGGCUCAGAGAUAGAACUGACAGGUGAAAUAACAGUUUCAAUCUGCGUGCAUGUGUGUGUGUGUGUAUAGAUGAGUUUCGUCGAAUUAUGUUUUUUGAAAAUAUGUUGUUUAUGUUUUUUUUAAUUGGUAAAUAGGGUUGGAAUUGAUGUUCCGAAAGUGGAAGUUCGUUUUGAGCAUCUUUCGAUUGAAGGAGAUACAUAUGUUGGAUCGAGGGCACUUCCUACUAUUUUGAACUCUGCCUUGAAUCUGGUCGAGGUAAUACUAAUAAUCAUAAUAAAUUUCGUGCAAUUAAAAUGCAAUAUCUUCCUUUAUAUUAUUGUUUUUGGAUUGGUUAUGUGCUAUAUUCUGCAAGUAUAGUUUCACACAGAAUGUACAUAUAUAGAUAUAUUUCUUUUCGUAGUACUGCUAGCUGCAUAUAAUGGGCAUUCAAGUUUCACUCAAGAUUUCUUUCGUUUUCGUCUACAGGGAAUCUUUGAAAAAAUAAAGAUUCUACCUUCGAAGAAAAGGGCCGUCAAAAUACUCCACGAUAUCAGCGGAGUUGUAAAACCUUCAAGGUUUGUCCGAAAAUUUAAUCUUAUUAUCUCGAGAAAUAUCUGAUAUUUGAUAAAUGUCAAUAGAGGGAAUUGUAUUCGAUGAGAUUAGAGAAAAGUAAUAAUAAAAAAAUUUAAUGCAGGAUGACACUACUUCUCGGACCACCUGGCUCGGGGAAAACUAUAUUGCUCAAGGCUCUUGCCGGGAAGCUGGACAACGAUCUUCGGGUUUGUCAUCGUUUGAAAACUUUUAUUACACAAACACGUCUUCUCUUUUGGCGCUCUCUUCCGAAAUGUAACUUAUUUAUUUUUAUUUUUUUUCUAAAUUUUAUAGGUAGAUGGAAAUAUCACUUACUGUGGUCACGAGCUGUCGGAAUUCAUUCCUCAGAGGACAUGCUCUUACAUAAGCCAACACGACCUUCACCACGGAGAGAUGACUGUAAGAGAGACACUAGAUUUUUCGGGGCGUUGCUUAGGUGUCGGGACAAGAUACGACCUCCUCGUAGAACUUUCUAGAAGAGAAAAAGAGGCCGGAAUUAAACCCGACCCGGAAAUCGAUGCAUUCAUGAAGGCCACAGCUGUAUCUGGCCAAGAAUCUAGUCUUGAAACGGACUAUGUUCUUAAGGUUCGUUUUUUUUCCUUCUUUAAAAUACGUGUUUUUAUGCUUUUUUUCGAACUCGGAUACUGAAAUUAAUCUUGCAUUGUUAUGGGUUUACAGAUUCUUGGAUUAGAUAUAUGCGCUGAUAUAUUAGUCGGAGAUGAAAUGAGAAGAGGAAUCUCCGGUGGACAGAAGAAACGUCUCACAACUGGUAUGUAAAGAUAAUUUUUUUUGGCUAUCAAUUUUAGUUUGAUUCAAUGUGUUUAAUUUAAUCUGUUGUCCUUAAAAUGUAGGUGAAAUGUUGGUGGGACCCGCGAAAGUUUUCUACAUGGACGAAAUCUCGACCGGUCUCGAUAGUUCGACCACGUUUCAAAUAAUCAAGUACAUGAGACAGAUGGUUCAUAUCAUGGAUGUGACAAUGAUAAUAUCCCUCCUCCAGCCUGCACCCGAAACUUUCGAGCUAUUCGAUGACAUCAUCUUGCUGUCAGAAGGACAGGUCAUCUACCAAGGCCCCCGAGAAAACAUCCUCGAGUUUUUCGAGAGCGUCGGAUUCAAAUGCCCCGAUAGAAAAGGAGUGGCGGAUUUCUUACAAGAAGUCACUUCCGUAAAGGACCAAGAGCAGUACUGGUUCAAGAAAGACGAGCCUUACCGGUUCAUUUCGGUGGCGGAGUUUGUCGACUGCUUCAGCUCUUUCCACGUAGGACAGAAGAUAUGCGAUGAACUGGCUGUACCUUACGACAAAACGAAAGCACAUCCAGCUGCAUUGGUCACCGAAAAAUACGGGAUUUCGAACAUGGAGCUUUUGAAGGCGAAUUUGGCGAGGGAGUGGCUCUUGAUAAAGAGAAACUCGUUCUUGUACAUAUUCAAGAUUUUCCAGAUAACUAUAAUGUCUUUGAUCACUUUCACGGUUUUCUUCCGGACGGAGAUGAAAUCUGGGUCGUUGAUCGAUGGAGGGAAAUUCUACGGUGCUCUGUUUUUCAGUCUUAUUAAUGUGAUGUUUAACGGAACUGCUGAGCUGGCGUUGACGGUUCUUCGACUCCCUGUGUUCUUCAAACAGAGGGAUGCUCUGUUUUACCCUGCUUGGGCUUUUUCUUUACCGAUUUGGCUUCUUAAAAUCCCGCUCUCGUUGGUGGAAUCUAUGAUUUGGGUUGUUCUUACUUAUUACACAAUCGGAUUUGCUCCCGGUGCUGAUAGGUAAAUUACCUUUCGCAUUCAUCUGAACAUUAAAAAUGUCGACUUUCUUCUUUUUUCUUUCCAGUAAUUAUUAACUCUGUUUUUCUUGAUUUUUCAGGUUUUUCCGACAAUUUCUGGCGUUCUUUGCUCUGCAUCAGAUGGCUUUAUCUCUGUUCCGAUUUCUUGCUGCAAUUGGACGAACGCAGGUUGUUGCAAAUGUACUGGCUACCUUCAGUUUGCUAAUGGUCUUUGUUCUUGGUGGUUUUAUUAUUGCAAAAGGUCGGUAUUGUUUAUUUUAUUAUUAAAAAUUUAUUUCAAUAGUUUUGUUUGAUUUUUUGAAUUUCGACGCUCUAACUGAAUUCGCACACUUCAGACGACAUUAAACCGUGGAUGAUAUGGGGCUUUUAUCUUUCUCCUAUGAUGUACGGUCAGAAUGCUAUUGCCAUAAACGAGUUUCUUGAUAAAAGAUGGAGCGCAGUAAGUUCUUGUGCUAAUAAUAGUAAUCUGUAUAACUGGAUAAUCGACUUUUGUAUCGUUCGACUAAGUAAUAUCAUUCUCUUUUUUUUUUCAGCCUAACAUCGAUGAAAGGUUUACCGAACCAACAGUCGGAAAAGUUCUUCUUAAAAUGAGGGGCAUGUAUACGGAGGACUAUAUGUACUGGGUCUGCGUUAUUGCUCUGUUUGCAUUCUCGAUUAUCUUCAACGUCUUAUUCAUUCUCGCACUGACGUACCUAAAUCGUAAGAUUAACCUUUUUUUCGUUUUUUUUUUUGCUCCUUCUGCAUGGGAAAUUUGAUUGUUUUAUUUAUUUUUUGACCGCUUAUUGCAAACUGGUGUAGCAUUUGGAGAUUCGAGAUCUGUUACUGUGGACGAAGAUACUAAAAAGAAGGAAAGCGUUGGCAAAGCUAUUCCUAUGAGGAAUAAAUCCGAAGGAAGAAAAGGAAUGGUGCUUCCUUUCACCCCCUUGUCACUAGCGUUCGACCGUGUCAACUACUACGUCGACAUGCCAGCUGUAAGUCACUUCUUCUACGAUUUAAAAUGCAAGAAAAAAAUAAUUACAUAUUUACUUAUCGGGAGGUGCUAAACAUCGUUUCGAUUUUACUAGUACCGUUCUGACUUCAAAAUGUGAUUUUUUUUACUCUUUUUUUCUGUCGGAAUAUGGCAAAACUCAAAGUAUCGAAUUUGUAGUCCUUUUAGUUGACUUUCUAAUUUAACUCGAAUAAGCUAAGUCUGAUGUCGGGUGAGAGAGUUAUGCGUGAAUGAAUGAAUGUACACUGCCCUAAAACCCACAAUAAGUUUACUUUAAACGUGAUUUUAACCGUCUUACAGUCUGAAUAUGGAAAAACUUAAAACAUCAAAGUGGUGGCCCUUUGAAUUGUCUUUCUAAUUCAACUUGAAUCAGCUAAAUCGGUGGUCAGACGAAAAAGUUACGCAUAAUCUUGCUAUUUACGGUACCAGUAUAAAACGAAACGACAUUCAGCAUUUCAGUUACUUAUCUAGUCGAUCAAAAUAAAAUUAAAAAACCACUCUUUUAGUAUAUUCAACACGUCAGUAAAUAAUUUUAUUUAUUUAUUUCAUAGGAAAUGAAAAAAACCGGGAUGGAAGAAACUCGCCUCCAACUACUAAGAAAUGUGAGCGGAGCAUUCCGGCCCGGAGUGCUCACAGCCUUGGUCGGCGUGAGCGGGGCCGGCAAAACAACGUUGAUGGAUGUUUUGGCGGGAAGAAAAACUGGCGGGCAAAUCGAAGGCAGCAUCAGCAUCUCCGGUUACCCAAAGAAUCAAUCCACCUUUGCACGUGUCAGCGGAUACUGCGAACAAACCGACAUCCACUCUCCUCACGUCACCGUUUACGAGUCCGUUGUGUACUCCGCUUGGCUCCGUCUCUCUCCCGACGUUGAUAAAGAAACACGAAAAGUAAAUAAACCCGAUUCUUGAAAAUUAAUUUACUUAUUUCACAUCGAACGAAGUUUCCCAUUCCUUUUUUUUUUUUAAUAUGUAGAUGUUUGUCGAGGAAGUGAUGGAGUUGAUUGAGUUGAACCCGUUGAAGAAUGCUUUGGUGGGCUUACCUGGAGUGGAUGGUUUGUCGACUGAGCAGAGAAAGAGGCUCACAAUAGCGGUUGAAUUAGUUGCUAAUCCUUCGAUUAUUUUCAUGGACGAACCUACUUCUGGGCUCGAUGCUAGAGCUGCUGCUAUUGUUAUGAGAGCUGUGAGGAACACUGUCGAUACGGGAAGAACCGUUGUGUGCACUAUUCAUCAACCCAGUAUAGAUAUUUUUGAAGCUUUCGACGAGGUAAAUUUUAAUAUUUUUUUUUUUAUUAUUUUUUUUUUAAUAUUUUUUUUUAAUAAUUUUUUUCCAGGAAGUAUUCUAAAGUUGUAUUGUAAUAUAUAUAUUUUCUUUUCUGUAGCUAUUGUUGAUGAAGAGAGGAGGACAAGUUAUUUACGGUGGACCACUCGGUCAUCAUUCUCGUCUUUUAGUCGAAUACUUUCAAGUAAGUGUUUGUUCAUUCUGGGAAAAAAAUUAACUACUAACUACCCUUAUUUUCUCUAAAAUAUAUAAAUAUUAUAUAAAAUGAAUAUUUAAUAUCUUAAAUUAAAAAAAAAAAACAGUCUGUGCCUGGACUUCCCGAGAUCAAAGAAGGUUACAAUCCCGCGACCUGGAUGCUCGAUGUCACCACUCCUGCAAUUGAGGCUCAACUCAACGUCGAUUUUGCCGAAAUUUACACCAACUCUGAGUUGCACAAGUAAAUACAGCAUUAUUUUUUUUCUUUAAUUUUAUUAAAUGAUGUUGUUUCGUGUUACGUGGACCCCACCGUAAUAUUUUUAUUUAAUAACAGGAGGAACGAAGAACUGAUUAAACAACUGAGUGUUCCAGCACCUGGUUCGCAAGAUUUACAUUUCCCGAAUAAAUACGCACAGUCUUUCAGUUCGCAGUGCAACGCUUGCUUCUGGAAGCAGCAUUUGUCGUACUGGAGGCAUACGCAGUAUAAUUCCAGUAGGUUCUUUAUGACUACGAUUAUCGGAAUUAUAUUCGGAGUCAUAUUUUGGAACAAGGGCACGCAAUUGUAAGUCUCUUUUCUUCUAUCGAUUCUCCGAUAUUCAUUCUCGAAAUUAAAAAUUUUAAUUUUUUUUAUUUAAUUUAUAGAUCGAAGCAACAAGAUCUGAUGAAUCUACUUGGAGCAAUGUACUCUGCUGUUAUGUUUCUUGGAGGCACGAACACUUCUGCCGUACAAUCAGUCGUAGCGGUCGAACGAACUGUUUUCUAUCGUGAAAAGGCUGCCGGAAUGUAUUCGGCUUUACCUUAUGCAUUUGCUCAGGUGAGAAUAAUAUAUAUAUAUUUUUUUAAAUAUUGAAAUGGUUGUGUAGAAAACUAAAUAUAUUUUUAUCCGACAGGUGGCGAUCGAGACAAUUUACGUAGCGAUACAGACUUUCGUGUACAGCCUUGUCCUUUACUCGAUGAUUGGGUUCGAGUGGAAGGUGGAGAAAUUCUUUUGGUUCUAUUUCUUCGUGUUUAUGUGCUUCAUCUACUUCACGGCGUACGGUAUGAUGCUUGUGGCCCUCACUCCAAAUUACGCAAUCGCCGCAAUCGUCAUGUCGUUUUUCCUCAGCUUCUGGAAUUUAUUCUCCGGCUUCCUCAUUCCACGAACGGUACGUAAAUCUCAAGCAUUCCACUUAUAUAUAUAUAUAUAUAUAUAUAUAUAUAUAUAUAUAUAUAUAUAUAUAUAUAUAUGUAUAUAUAUAUAUAUAUAUAUAUAUAUAUAUAUAUACACAUUUAUUUUCAUAAAUAGUUUAGUGGUGCGUGACUGAAAUGUCAAAUGUCGUUUCAAUUUUAACCGGUACCGUAAUUCAAGAUUACGCAUAACUUUCUCAUAUGAUCACUAAUUUAGUUGAUUCAAGUUGUGCUGGAAACCCAAUUCGAAGGGCUACAACUUUGAUGUUUUGAGUUUUCGCAUAUCAGAACUGUCAAAUGUGAUUAUGCGAAAACUAAUCGACCUGACAUCUAAUCGACCCGACAUCUAAUCGACCCGAUUCAAGUUCGAUUAGAAAGUCAACUCAAAGGACUACAAAAUUGACGGUUUAUUUGAUUCGAACAGGAAAUUCCGAUAUGGUGGAGAUGGUAUUACUGGGCAUCUCCAGUUUCGUGGACGAUAUACGGACUGGUGACGUCACAAGUAGGCGACAAGAGUGAUUUGAUUCAAGUACCUGGGCUUGUCGGAGAUAUUCCGGUCAAAGAGUAUUUGGAACGAUUUUUGGGCUAUAAAUACGACUUCUUGGGAGCUGUGGCCGGAGCACAUGUUGGUUGGGCUAUUUUCUUCUGCUUUGUGUUUGCUUAUGGUAUCAAGUACCUCAAUUUCCAGAGGAGGUGAUGAAAUUAAAUUUAAGCCAUAUUUUAUUCUUUAUAAGAUUUGUAUUAUAUAUUUUUUUUUGGUUUUUUUUUGUUUUGUUUUUGUUUAUGAAGUGUACAAUGUUUUGUUUGUUUGUUUUAUGAAAAUAAUCAUAUGUUGAUUGAGUUUAAAGAUUUUUUUUUUAUUCUUGUCUUGUGGAGAUAAUUGAAGUUCUUUUAAAUGUAUUUAUGAUUUCUUUCUUCUUCAACUCGACAUACGAAAUUACGCCAAAGAAAUUCAAACGAAACGUCAGGCUCAUCGUCAUCCACUCCACUGACACUCGUAGUUUUUUGGGAGAUAAUUUACAUCAUGCACAUCGUCAUCCUCAACUUCGUUAUCGUCCCGAUUUCGAUAUUGUACCUUCACUACAAUUGGUCCCGAAGUUGCUCGAUUGGGAGCACACUAUCGGAAAAAAAUGCAUCUACUAAAUUCACACGAAUAGUAUAGCUUGCCUAAAAAAGGUUUUGCAUUUGAUUCAACAACUCGUAUUGAUGCUUUUGUUUUGAAUAGACAUAAUAACGGACACAUUAGAUACCUCAAAUCCAUGUGAGCGUUCGAAUUGUUCUUCCUUGACGCGUUGUUUGAAGAGUAAAAAACAUGAUUGAACUUUGAUUCAAAAAAAGAAGGAAAUUUGAUUCGAAAUGAUGAACUGAAAUUCACGCUUUCUAGGGCACAAUGAGAGCAAAAAAACACGACUCUAGGGCACACAAAUUAGAGCAAUUUGUAUUUAUUUAUUAUUUAUCUAUUAAUCAAUUCAAUUGACUCAUAUUCCACGUAAACAAGAUCCAUAAAUCAGCCCGUAUGGGUAUAAUUCAACUGGUUCCGGAGGUCAUAGGAUCCAAUCAUGUAUAUGAUUCAUAAACCAUGAAUGGGGAAAAUACAAUUUUCAUCCAUGUAUUUUGCAAUAAUUUCACAUUUGGUCCCUAAUGUUCAUAAAAAAAUAUAUUUGGUCCCUUAUAUUUCAAAAAUUCAACACUUUUAGUCAUUUUCGUUAAUUUUUCAUUAGUAUUAACGAAAUGAAGCAGGUAUCCAUCACCGCCUUACCUGACGAUUGACGGAAAUGACUAAAAAUCUUAAAUUAUUGAAAUAUGACGGACCAAAUGUGUUUUUUGUGAACUUGUGAGGUAAAAUGUGAAAUGAGUGCAAAUGUGAGGGGUAAAAAAUGUAAAUUUCCCCAUGAAUCUAUUUCUUUGACAAGCAAAUUAAGAGAGAGAGAGAGAGAGAGAGAGAGAGAGAGAGAGAGAAGAGAGAGAAUGAAGACCCAUUGUUGGGUUCGAGCUUCUGAUUCCGAUUUCACUGGACCUCUUCCCCGACCACGAAGGCAAUUGCAUUUAUAUAUAUAAUUUUUUUUUUCAGUUUGAAUGCUUCGACAUAGCGAAUGAAUUUUUAUCCGAUCAGAAGUGUUCUGAAUUUGUUUUUUCCCUAAUUGCAGCGGUCACACAGCUGUGAACAUCGGAAAGUCCAAAACUGUAUUUUUCGGUGGUCUGGUAGACAAGAAAUUCCUCAAUGACGUCACUGUUUAUGACAUUGGUAAUUUUUUUUUAAUUACUUAAUUCUACGAUAAUUAGUUACUGGGCUGUUGCAAGUACUUGCUUGAUAUCAAGUAUUACUGCAAAUUAGGCAAAUUCUAUAUAUUCUUGUUUCUGUUUAUGAUUUCGUGCUGUUAUAUUCUGUUGGAUGCUUGGUGCUCAGUUUAUGAUCAAUGCUGUUUAUUAAAUGGAAUAUUUAUGCUGAUAUUUCACUGUAGCUCAAUUGAACAUGUUUUUGUGGGAGUAUUAGCAGUUUAUUCGUCUUAUCCUAGAAUAAGCGGAUCGAUCAGCUGAAACUCAAUAUAUUGAAAACAUUUGAUUCAAUAUGUUAUGCAUCUUAAGUUUGUAAAUUCAUAAUAAUAAGCGUAUGAACUGUAUAUGGACAAAAUUUUUCUUGUCUUAAUGUUUGAUGAAUGUGGAAUGUUACAGACAACAAUAUGUGGUUUCAGCCGGAGUGUACGGGCAGUGGUUCUGAUGGAAAUGUGGGCCCAAGUCCACGUGCUUUCCAUAUUGCUGUUGCGAUCGAUUGUCACAUGUUCAUAUUUGGUGGGAGGUCCGGUGGUAAUAGGUAUUGUUGUAUAUUCAUGUUUAUGUAUCUUUCGUGUAACUUCAUUACUAAAGCUUGUUUAAAUUUGAUUAUUUUCAAUAAAUCUUGUCAUUUACAGGUUAGGCGAUUUCUGGGUUCUUGAUACUGGUAAGCUAGUUCCACCUUUUAGACAGUUGGUAAUGAUGGAACCAAGUAUGAAAAUGCUAAAAGUUAUUCCCUGUUGGCCACAGAUAUAUGGCAAUGGUCAGAAUUGACCAGCUUCGGCGACUUACCUUCGUCACGGGAUUUUGCAGCUGCUUCAGCUGUUGGGAACAGUAAAAUUGUGAUGUAAAGACUAAAGACUGACUUUCUUGGUGAUAUUAACCGGCUUUCUAAUCCACCUGUUGUCUUAUUUCAUCUAAAUUCAAUGCAGGUAUGGUGGCUGGGACGGUAAAAAGUGGCUCUCGGAUGUCUACGUACUUGACACAAGUAAUCUCUAUGUUUUAUGUCCCAAAAGCUAUGUUGUUUAUUUCAUUUUAAUACAGAAUUGUCAGCACCUUGAUAUAUUAUUGCUUCUUGAACAGUUUCACUUGAAUGGACGGAGUUGUCGGUUACAGGGACAGUUCCUCCACCAAGAUGUGGCCACUCUAUUACAAUGAUUGAGAAACGGUUGCUCAUGUAUGGUGGUAGAGGUAAUUUGGCAUUCAUUUCACUGUAAUAUUGUGUGGUUUCCUUCGAUAACAUUCGUAUCCGGACCAAGGGAAUACAUUCGCCUCAUGGUACAAUCUUCGGUAUGACAUUUUAGCUACUUCUGAUAUGCGUGGAUUUAAGUUAUCAUUCACCUUUUUCAGGUGGUGGUGGGCCAAUCAUGGGUGAUCUAUGGGCUUUAAAGGGGCUUAUUAAAGAAGGUAUCUCGCUUCCUAUUUUUUAAAUCCUCCAUGUAGAAGAAUCAUCAGAAAGACUCGUCACCGUUAAUAUCUGUUAGAUGAAUGUUUCCAAAUAUCAAAUCAAAUUAUGGGCCUUCAGUAUAAGCAGCACCUAUGCUUACACAGAAGAUAUUUUCUUGAAAUGCUUAAUCUCUGUGCUAAAAUUUGUUUAAGAAUGUGAAAUUUUUAAAUCAGUCAAAACCUAAAGAAAUUGAAUUCACAACUGCUCUUAUAAAUCAGGUCAUUAGAAUGAAAAUGGCUUUAUUGUUUGAAGUAAUAGCUUCUCACUUCCGCAAGUUAGGAGGAAUUUGCUUUGUUUGUCUGAUGUCAUUUUUUUCCUUUCAUCUUUUCCUUUCAGAGGAGUCGUACGUCCAUUUUUUGUUCUCUUCUAUUGUCAAUAUUACCUGCCAGUAGUUUUCGAUUCUGGCUACAUACAUGAUACUAUUUUAUGCGCUAAUUCCCUAUUAAGAUCUGUUUUCUUUAUCUAACGUGCCUUUCUUGAGAACUACGAUUCGCAUACUUAAAUCUAUUUUUGCAAUUGUUGGUGUUUCUUGUGGAAGGAAGAGAAUGAAGCACCUGGAUGGACCCAACUGAAGCUUCCAGGUCAAGCUCCUUCCCCCCGUUGUGGACACACCAUCUCUUCUGGAGGCCCUUACGUAACUAUCUAAAUCUUUGCGUCUUCUUAGUUGCCAUAUUCUAACUGUCUCGUCAUAACAGUGACUAUAAUCAGAUUAAUGUUUCAUUUUGUUCAUGAUAUUAUUGUGUUAUGUGAAUCUCAAUAUAAAAAAAAAAAUUUACUGAAGAGAAUCAUGUAAAUGUCUUGACUAAAUCUUUUAAAAAGAUUAAGUGCAAGUAUUGAUUGGAGUUUCAAUACGAAUGUGCAGUUCGAUUCCCAAAUACCAUUCCAGCAUUAACAAACAAUUUGUCUUUGCAGCUUAUGUUAUUUGGUGGGCAUGGAACUGGUGGUUGGUUGAGCCGUUAUGACAUAUAUUACAAUGACUGUGUUGUUUUAGACAGGGGUAUGUAUUUCAUGUUGGGCCCAAGUUUCUUGUAUUAAUUUUUCAGUUAUUAUUUCCUUGAGCUUUUGUCAUGUUUUUGGCCUUUACAUUGCUUCAUAAUAAUGUUGCCACUUGGUCUCUCUGCUUUAUUGAAGUAGGUUUUUCUUAUUUAGUCUUCAACUUCUUUUUUUUUUUUUACGUGUGGAAUUACUCAUGAAAUUUGAUUAUUGCAAAGACCCCAUUAGACAAAAUGAGCAGAACUUAUUUGAGAUCGUCUACAUAAUUUGUAUUAGAUUCUAUAUAUGAAAUCCCCUGUAAGCCAUUCUGAAAGAAUAAAACAAUAGUUUCCUUGACCUGGAAAAUUAAAUUUCAGUCCACACGAGAUACUGAUGAAUAGCAUUCUGCAUAUGCCUUAUUCUUGUCAUGAACUCCUUAACUGCUAUUUGCUACUAAUACAUGGUCUCAUUCGUAAAUGUUUGUUUUAUUUGGAAAGAAGACAGCCCCCAUUUAGGAAGAAUAUCUGUGAGGAUACGGUUAUCAAGGGGUUAUAAUUAAUGCAGCUAUUUGUAUUUCCCUGUACUUUGUUUCAUGAUACUAUUGACCUUUGAAUAUUGUUCUCUCUGAAUAUGAAUUUUGACAAUAUACUGUUUUGUAAUUGCAUGUAGUGUCGGUGCAGUGGACACGCUUGCCUACUAGCAACGAACCCCCAGCUGCUCGAGCAUAUCAUUCCAUGAACUCUGUUGGUUCUCGGUAUCUGCUGUUUGGCGGAUUUGACGGGAAAUCAACUUAUGGUGAUCUCUGGUGGCUUGUACCCGAAGGUAUUAACUAUUUACCUACUGCGAUUUUAAAUCGACUCUCGCUUCAAUAGCUAUGUUAACUGUAUAAUUCAUCCUGUUGUUAAACUCGACUUAAUUUUUGUAAGUACUGCAUUACUCGAAUCUGUUGUUUCCAUUCACCUUUUAGUCUUUUCUGGCUUAACCUUUCAAUUUUUGGGAGUUGAGAAGAAAUAAACUCCUUAUUUUCCUUCCCAGCUAUCGAUUCUUUUUCAUUAAAUCCGACUUGUGCUUGAUUACAGAUGAUCCUAUUGCAAAGAGGCUAACAACAUCUCCAUCCGAACUUAUUCCGGAAAUAAAUGCAACAAUGGCAGCAAAGGUGUACUGGACUUUCCUCAUUUAUUUCUUUAUUGUUUGAUGACUUGUGAAUCUUCUGAAUUAUAACAUCAACACAGAAUCAUAUGUGCGAGUGAGUUGCCAAACGGUGUAGUAAUGUUCCAUUUCUCUUUUCACAGGAAGACCAAAUAGAAGGCUCUGCAUUUUCGGAGUUGCAGAAAAGAUUAGAAAUUUCAAAUUUACUUUCUAAUCCCGAGAAUAUCAUGAACGAAAUGGAAGACAAAGAACUUAUCAAACUAGCGUCAAGAAUCGGCGGUGAAGAGGCUUCGAGUGACAUGCGGGUAUAUAUAUCAGAGUCAUUUACUCUCAGUAAAUUUUUAGCAUCAUACGGAGCGUGUUUUUGCCGUUUUUUUCCUCUGAAACUGUUCUUGUUAAAGGCUGUGCAAGCGCUCAGAGACCACUGGAUGAAGUCAGCGCCACAAUCUAUAUCACUGAAGGAGCUCGGCCCGUUACUACAUGACUACAAACGGUUUAUUACCCGCCAUCAUAUGUGAGAUUGAUCUCUUCUACGUUAUAAUUUCUUGAUAAUUAUACGAAUUGUGAAUUCUAAUGCUUGUUGCUUCCAUUCAUAUAUAGAUAGCACUGGCCAUUGCGAUCUCUCUGAAACUCGAAAACCAUGCACUUAAUCUGACAAACUGUUAUUCUUAGCUCUCAUUUUUUUUUCAGACAAGUAUUACAUUAACUUCUAUAAGCUUUAUUAUCGGUCUUAAAAUAGUUAAAGAAGUUUAAUUGUUUAAUUCUUGGCAUUAUGUUGGUGUACUUAGCAUAAUUUGUUUGAAUUACUUUGUGUUUCCUUUUUUUUUUUUUUUUUUUUUUUGUGUGACAGAGGAAAGCUUGGAUGUAAAUUAGAGCUUGCAGAUUCUGGUUUUCGUGGAAAAGAUGCAUUUCGCUUCUGUCAUGUUAAAAGUGCUUCUCAGGUAUGAAAUUAAGUUUCUGUUUCACAUGUGUGUGUGUGUGUGUGUUUGUUUGUUUUGUACACAGUAACGAAAAUAUAUGUUGUUCGUUUUCAGCUACGGAUGAGUGAAAUCCCAAAUCUACUGGCGGAGUACAAAGAGCUUCUCUCGUCAACAGGUAUCGGUCUGACAGAUUGAAAGCAUUUCGUGCGGAAGUACGAUUAUAGAUACGUAAUGGAAUUGGAAAAGGAGAGCAUUGCAAGAAAAGAAGAAUUGAAUUCGGAAUUUGAUGAAAGUACCUUAAUCGCGAUAAUUACGGGACAAAUGAACAUAUAUAGUCGUAGAUUGUUAGAAAUGUAACGACACUUGUACUUGUCUAAACAACGUAGUUCACCGCGCACACGAUCCGAUCCGACACAAAUUCUAAAUUUAGCAAUAUUUUGAAAUCAAAGUAGUUGAGGAAUUGAUUCAAAAAUAGAUUAAAAAAAUAGAAAAAAAAAAAAGGAAAAAAAAGUCAGAGAACAAUAGUAUUUGUGUUUUAUGCUUUUAAGCUGUGAAGAAUCUUGCUAAGUUCCUCCAGCUUCCUCAUCCUGAAACUCUCACUUUGAUUCACCAUCUGCAAAAAAACAUAUUAAUAAUACUUUUUAAUAUUUAUUUUAAAUUUUUUUACAAAUACAUUAUACACUUACUUUGCUUGUAGCUUUUGGAUUUGAAAAAAGAAAAGGACAAAUUAUGGCCACAUCCCUGAGGCAUGCUCAAAUUACAAAAAAAAAAUCCUAAUGUUGGGGUAAUUACAACCAGUCCUCUCAACUAUGUAUUGUCUUUCAAUCUUUACAGCGUCGAAUUUACCUACUGAAAGAGGGGUUUGUUUGUAAGGCAAUACAUAGUUGAUGGGUGGUUGUAAUUAUUCAGGGAUGUUUUCGUAAUUUAGGCUUAUCUAAGGGGUGACCGUAAAUUGGCGAAAAGAAAAAGGGUUUACCUCCACAAGGGCGGUGGUGAGUUGAGCUUUUUCUUUGCUCUUUUCUUGGAAAGCCUCCAGGACUUCUUUAUAUUCUUUUUCCUAAUAAAAAAAGAUUAUAUUUUAAAAAAAAAUUGUUAUUUAUUUAUUUUAAUUAUUAUUUAUGUUUAAUUGAGGUAAGAAAAGUGUGAGAGAGAGAAGAAUGUGUAGUUACUUUCUUUUGGCAGAUCUGUGCGAGAGAUUUGAGGUCACGAUUAGCCAAGUCUAAUCUUCUACGAACACUCGUCACUUCUUUUCUCAUCGGAUCUGUGAACACUUCAAGUUCCUAUAGUAAAACAUCGAUAAAUUAAUAAUCUUAUUUAAAUAAUAAUUUCUUUCGGUUUCAAAUCAGUAGAAAUAUACUAAAUUAUUCGCUCAAUAAUUUAAUGUUUCGCUAAGUUAAUAGGGUUUUGCUAGUCAUAACUGUAUUACUUUAUAGAGUUUAUAGAGGCUCGACUGUACAUACAUUUUCACAAAUAUGGUUUAAUGGAUUAUGAGGUUGAAAUAAUUAAAUAAUCAAACGAUAGAGAGUAUAAUAUUUGGCUUAAAUUAUGUUUUUUUUUUUAAUAAUAAUUCUGAAGAAAAUAUCUCACUUUGAGAUGCCUCGCUGUAACAGCGAUAAAGUGAUUAUUCAAAUUCGAACUCAAAUGUAAUUAAAUUAGUAUUUCUCGUUGUUUCUUCCAAAGUGUACGUUUGUUUAAAUUCAUAAUAACAAAUCCAUUGAGCCUGUUUGUAUCAUAAUUCAUAACAAACAGAUCUUAGAUCUUAAACCACUGACUCUAAGUUGGGAUUAUUUUUUCAGUUCUCGUGGAUUCGAUCCUAAUCCUAAUCCAAAUCUCGAUUGUUUAAACCUCGAAAAUUCUAGAACCAUGCAUACUAUCAUCAUCGCAAAAACAGUUAAUAUAACCGUCGUAGUUUCUAAUCAUUUUAAAGAAGGGUAAUUAGCAACUUACUUCCCAAACUUGUGUCAAUCGCUUGGCUUCUUCUUGUGCACGUGUGAGUUGGCAUUCAACCCGCUGCCUAACUUCGAUUUUUCGCUUCUCGAUCUCCUCUUCCUUUGCUAAAGCCAUCUUCGACGUUUCGUCCUCGUCGUCAUCGCCCGCCGAAAACCGACCGCUGCUUCCGAGAGUUGCGCCGAGGCUAUUACUCUUCAUUUGAUCUCUUAGAAACUCAGCUAUGUAUGUAUAGUGAAAUGCUAUUGCAUCUGCAUAUUUAUUGACAGAUGUUGUGAUGUAGAGUAUAAUUUUUUUCAUGUUGAAUGCUAUCCACUUUCUUUAUUUUUGCUUUUGCUUUAAUACUUGCUCUCCUUUUUCCCCACUUCUCUACCUCCCUUCCUUUUCAAGCUGUAUUUGUUAAAGAAAUAAAAAGGAAAAGCAACAUAUUUUGGUGCUAUGUUAGUUUAAUGUUUUAAUUUUGAGGCUUUUGUGGGUUUCUAAGUCUACCUUUUUGGAGGUACAAAUUUUCAAAAGACUAACGAUUAUUACAAAAAAAAUUGAAUUAAAGUUUAAUGGUUUUGGUACACAUUUUGCUUCAAAUUUGGGCAAGUUAGUUGGUCAAAGUCAAGUGUUGGAUACUAGAAAAUGCAAACAGCUUAUUCCUCGUGUUUGAAUAAUUACAGUCACUUUUCAACUACGAAUUUUUUUACACGUUCAUAUUUUGUUGUAUCAAAAUGAUGAUGCUAAAAUAUAGCUCACCUAGGGUAGUGUAGAAAAUGAACUGGGAGAGCAAAGCAGAUCAAUAGCUUGACAACUUGAUGAUCCUGAGGUACCUGCGAAAUGAACACACGUGAACUACGCCGGGGGUUGAUCCGGUGGAAACCCCUCCGACGCUCAAGUCAGACGUGCUGAUCAUAGAAAUAGUCCAGAGAACAUAUUGUAGUAUUGCUCAGUUAAUAGGACGUACCUUAAUAAAAUGAGUAAAACCUCUAUUUAUAUGUCGUUUAUUGGGUUGGGUUUGCUUUGUUGGGCCCAAGCCUUACUUGAAGGUGUUUGGGCCUCGGUGAUAUUGGUCUUCGAUAUUGGGCUCGUAGCCCAGUAGGUAAAGAAAUUGUUGGGCCAUUGGGCUGGCCCAAUUAGGCAUAUCAUUAAGCCCCCCACUCUCGAGUCGAUGUGGGGGCCAUGUUGUGAUGGGUCUCAGAUCGUGUCGAGAGUAAAAAUUGUAGAAGUCGAUCGUUGGCGUAUGGCCUAAUGGUAUGCGAAAACGCGUUGGAGCGUGUGUCGGAGGGGUGUGAAUGCGCGUUGGCGCAUAGCGCGACAAAGUUGCCGCGAUAUAAGUUAAUUGAGUCGUCGGUUUUGUCCCGCGACGAUGUAGUAGCGAAUUAUCUCCUCGUGCGAGUUGUAUUGUCGCGGGGUAAUAGUGUUGAUCGAGUUAUCUCCUCGUGGGAGUUGUCUCGCGAUAAUGUAGUAGCACGGAUCAAAUAAUCUCCUCGUGGGAGUUGUCUCUGGGGUAAUCGAGUUGAUCGAGUUACGUCCUCGUGGAAGUUGUCUCACGAUAAUGUAAUAGCACGGAGCUAGUAUUCUCCUCGUGGGAGUUGUUAUUUUUCGACAUUUUCAAUGUUUUGACGCGUUGCUUGUAUGUGUUUACAUAUAGCCUUCUGCGUGAUGUACUUGAGGAGGGGAUCAGACUCUCAAGAUUUUUAUAUGGGGAUCGUGCCCUUUGUUAGACCUCGUGGGUCGUAAGUAUGUUUGGACCGUGGCCACGUUUUAAUGAAGGACCCAUCGAAAACAAGUAGAUAAAUUUGAGUAAUCAAGCUGGCCAGGCUAUAUAGAUUCCCAUAAUAUUUCUAAGUGUUUCUAGGGUCGUAAUCGUGCUAUCUUGAGCUUGCGAUUAUAUAUUGAAUUUCGGGCGAGUUGUCUCCUCAUGGGAUUUGUCUCGCAACGAAGUUGUAGAAGCAUUGGAUGACGCGCGACUGAGGAGUGUGCGUAUCGAGGUCGCUCUGAGCGAGUUGUCUCCUCGUGCGAGUUGUUUCGCGGCGAGUCUUAUUACCGAGCGAGGUAGCUCUUCGUGGGAGUUGUCCCGCUGCGGGUUGGGGUACCGAGCGAGUAGUCUCCUCGUGGGAGUUAUCUCGCUGUAGGUUGUAGUACCGAGCGAGUUGGCUCCUCGUGGGAGUAAUCUCGCUGCGGGUCAUAGGAUGGAGCGAGUGGUCUCCUCGUAGGAGUUAUCUCGCUGUGGGUUCGUAGGACCGAGCGAGUUGGCUCCUCGUGGGAGUUUCCUCGCUGCGGGUCGUAGGAUGGAGCGAGUGGUCUCCUCGUAGGAGUUAUCUCGCUGUGGGUUCGUAGGCCCGAGGGAGUUGGCUCCUCGUGGGAGAUGCCUUGCAACGGGUUAUAUGACCGUGCGAGUUUGCUCCUCGUGGGAGUUAUCUUGCUAUGGUUUCGUAGACCCGAGGGAGUUGGCUCCUCGUGGGAGUUGUCUCGCUGCGGGUUGUAGGACGGAGCGAGUGGUCUCCUCGUGGGAGUUAUCUCGCUAUGGUUUCGUAGACCCGAGGGAGUUGGCUCCUCGUGGGAGUUGUCUCGCAACGGGCUAUGUGACCGUGCGAGUUUGCUCCUCGUGGGAGUUGUCUCGCAAGCCCCCCACUCUCGAGACGAUGUGGGAGCCUAGUCGAAAAUGAUACCGGAUCGUGUCGAGAGUAGAAUAAUAAUUUUUAUUUUUUCUGCGGAGAACGAACGCUAUUGGGUGAGGCGCGUUGGAAUCCUUGUGCUAUUUGGUAGAGCGCGUUGAGAUUCCCACGCGAUUUGGUGGUGCGCAGUGGAAGUUGUGUGCGAUGAAGUGAGUGGAGAGAGACGCGCGCGAAUUGAUGUUCGUAGGACCGAGCGAGUUGCAUCGCAACGGCUGUGGAGCGAUGUGCGUAUCUAGGACACACAUGUGGAUCGAUGUCGCACGGUGGAGGAUCACGUGGGUCGAGGUCGUACGGUAGAGGAUCACGUGGGUCGAGGUCGUACGGUAGAGGAUCACGUGGAUUGAGAUCCCGAGCGCGAAUGAAGAUUCCGCAGUUGAGGAGAAGCACACGCACGUAGCGCGGUUGGAGAUGUCGGAACGUGCACAGCGCGAUUGGCGCGGAAUCAAGUUGAGAGUAAAUCGGUGUUGUGGUAUACCGUUAAUUAUAAACGUGCCGUGGAGAAAUAAUUAUUUAUAUUUAUACGUUUGAGAGCGCGUGCGGUUUGGAGAGGCAUUGUAGAGAGCGCGCGAUAUAGUGAAGCGAGGUAAAAUCGGCACACAAUUUAGUGAUAUGCAGUGCAAAUUGCGCGCAGUUAAGUGACUAGGGGAGGGGCGCGCGCGAAUCAAUGUAGUAUUUAGAUUCGCGCGCGUGAUUGAUGUAGGGGAGGGGUGGUAGGAUGCUUGGGAGAGAGAGUUGAUGGGACUUUGCAUUGAUGGAGGAGAGAGGGAGUUGCUUGGGAGAGAGAGUCAUCCCAUCCCACGUGCAAUGCUGCAGCAUCACCUUUUUCCAUUUUUUUUUUUUUAUUUUUUUUUCCCUGGCUGCUGACGCGCGCGCGUGCAUUGCACGCGCGCCUCCUUUCCUUUUAGCGAGGGCUUUUGGUAUUUUAUUCUUCUGACGCGCGAGCGCGUCAGCGCGCGCCUCCUUUCCUCCCCCUUUUUUUUUCUCUUUUUUUUUUCUUGUUCUUGAAUUUUUUUAUCUUCUUUCUUCUUCUCUUUUUUCAUCGUCUUCUUUUUUUUUCUAUUUUUUCAUCUUCUUCUUUCUUCUUCUCUAUUUUCUUCAUCUUCUUCUUUCUCUUCUUUCUUUUUAUCCUCUUCUUUUUUCUUCUAUUUUUUCAUCUUCAUCUUUUUUCUUUUUCUUUUUUAUUUGGUUGAUAUUCACUCCCUUGGGGAUGUUUUAUUUUUUGAAUAGGGAUAUUACCCUCGUUCCUUGAGAUGGGAUGUGCACCCCCUUGGGGAUGUUCUAUUUUUUGAGUAGGGAGAUUAUCCUCGUUCCUUGAGAUGGGAUGUGCGCCCCCUUGGGGAUGUUCUAUUUUUUGAGUAGGGAGAUUAUCCUCGUUCCUUGAGAUGGGAUGUGCACCCCCUUGGGGAUGUUCUAUUUUUUGAGUAGGGAGAUUAUCCUCGUUCCUUGAGAUGGGAUGUGCGCCCCCUUGGGGAUGUUCUAUUUUUUGAGUAGGGAGAUUAUCCUCGUUCCUUGAGAUGGGAUGUGCACCCCCUUGGGGAUGUUCUAUUUUUUGAGUAGGGAGAUUACCCUUGGUGAACGAAAUAUUUUGGGAGCCGAUGUAAGCCCCCAGGGAGUCGAUAAUCCUUGGCGAGCGAAAUAUUUUGGGGGCGAUGUAAGCCCCCAGGGAGUCGAUAACCCUUGGCGACCGAAAUAUUUUGGGGGCAGAUGUAAGCCCCCAGGGAGUCGAUGGCGGGGGUGCCAUAGGUGGCUAUGUAAGCCCCCAGGGAGUCGAUGGCGGUGGUGCCAUAGGUGGCUCCACAAGUGGAGCAGGUGCUGGUAUCGCGUUGCGAGCAUCUGCUCCCAUCGAGGCGAUAUAUUGAGUCAUCCUCGGUUAUUUGAACCAUUCGAGGAGCAGGGAGUGGUGGAUCGGCGAGUGGUGGGUCCCGAGGGGGAUCACCUGAACCUCGCGAGGCAGAUCCAUGGGGUGUGGAGGAGGUGGCAAGCCAGAGCCUCAACGAGGUGGGAGGUCGUUAGCUGUGUCAUUUUCUCUCUGAGCAGACGCCUCAGGAGGAUCUUGUUGGCUACGUGAUCUGGUUUGCAUCGUUCCACAGACGGCGCCAAAAUGAUGAUGCUAAAAUAUUUAGAUCACCUGGGGUGUGUAGAAAAUGAACUGGGAGAGCAAAGCGGAUCAGUAGCUUGACAACUUGAUGAUCCUGAGGUACCUGCGAAAUGAGCACACGUGAACUACGCCGGGGGUUGAUCCGGCGGAAACCCCUCCGACGCUCAAGUCAGACGUGCUGAUCAUAGAAAUAGUCCAGAGAAUACAUAUUGUAGUAUUGCUCAGUUAAUAGGACGUACCUUAAUAAAAUGAGGAAAACCUCUAUUUAUAUGUCGUUUAUUGGGUUGGGUUUGCUUUGUUGGGCCCAAGCCUUACUUGAAGGUGUUUGGGCCUCGGUGAUAUUAGUCUUCGAUAUUGGGCUCGUAGCCCAGUAGGUAAAGAAAUUGUAGGCCCAUUGGGUUGGCCCAAUUAGGCAUAUCACAAAAUUAGUUAAAUCUUCUACAUUAUAUAUAUUCUCUAGUUUGUAUCCGUUUUACCAUACUCAAGCUCUGCAUUUUAAAAUAAGGUGACCACAAAAUUUACGCUGAAUUUGAGAGCAUGAUGUUGAACGUGUAAGGAAAUUCAUAUCUUAGAAGUGGUUACAUGAGUUUAUCCAAAUAAAAUAAAACAUUCUUAAUUUAACAUUACAUAUAGCAGGGGUGGUCGUAACUUACCCUAAAAUAAAUUCCAAACCCACCAUAGUGACUAAAAAAUAACCGAAAAGGAAUGUAAAAAACUUGAAAUUCAUUACAAAUUAUUCAUCGAACUAUGUUUUUUUUAUUUUUUUUCAAUAAUAUAUACAUACAUUAUACAUACAUAUAUUCCAAGCCAAUCUAUAGUUAAUUAAUUAGGUCAAGUAUUUUCACUCAACGUUCUUUCACUACCACCAUUACUACUAUUCAUGAUCAUGAGUUCUUUCAACCUCGCCAUGGAAUUCUCUCUCUCUAGAUUAUUAUUAUUAUCAUUCACUCUCUCUCCUCCUCUACUACACAACCUCACCAUCUCCUCCACCACCCCAUCAAUCUCCUCCACUUUCUCUCUCAUCCUCUCUCCAAACUCCACCACCCUCCGCCGCAGCUCCUCCCCACUCCUCUCCACCACCACCUUCCUCACCACCCUCGCCACCUCCUCCCUAUCAAGCCUCCCCUCACCACUCCUCACCACCUCCUCCCCCAACCCCGCCUCCACCACCAACCUCGCAUUCAACGGCUGGUCCAGAUGCAUCGGCGCCGCCACAAUCGGCACGCCGGAAUACACCCCUUCCAUCACCGAACUCCACCCGCAGUGGCUCAAGAACCCCCCCACACUCGGGUGCGAAAGAAUCCUCCUCUGUGGGGCCCACCCCUCCACCACCACCCCUCUCCCUCCCACUCUUUCAAGAAACCCUACCGGCAGUUUCUCCUCAAUCUCGAUUCUUGAUCUUCCCUCCCCCGCCGGAAACCUAACCACCCAUAUGAAGUUAACCCCGCUCAUCUCCAGCCCACAGGCUAUCUCUUCGACUUCGUUCUCCGACAAGAAGUACUCGGUUCCGAACGAGGCGAAAACCGUCGACCGCCGCUCUUUCUCGUCCAGCCAUUCGAUUAAGCUGUCAUCUUUCUUCAUAUUAUUAAUAUCUUGAUUAACCAGAUGGCCGGCGGGGACAAAUUUCUUCCGGCAGAGUUGGCUGAGAUAGUCGACGUACUUCCCUUCGAGAUCUCCGAAUGUCUUGAUCAGGACAACAUCGGAGGAUCUCUUGACGCAGUCUCUGACCCGGUCGUCGUCGUUGGUCUCGCCGCCGGCGGAGUGGAUCAUGCGGCUGUAGAUUCCGAACUCGUUCUCCCUGAAGUAUAUGCCCGGAAAAGGGUAAUUAUACUCCGAUCCGGGCUCGCGAAACCAGUGGUACAGGAGGAGAGAAGUAGUGGCGGCGCCGGUGGUGAAGAACAGAACCGCCGGAAUAUCCUGCAGGGCGGCCUCCUCCGGCGCCCACGGCUGGAGGAAAUCGUAAACGACCAAGUCGGGCUUAAGGGUUUUGAGAAGGGUGGAGAAGGCGGGCCGGGCCUUGUCGAGAGCUCUCUUGAGAGAGGGCAUGAGGUGCGGCGGGAGGCCGUUGGUGGUGUGGCGGUGGGGAGGGAGGUCGGCGGUGGCGGGAAUGUGGAGGUCGACGAGUUUGAUGGAGAUGGAGUGCUUUGGAGAGAGGGUUUCUCUGAUGGAGGCGAGGUUUACCGGCGAGGAGCAGAUGUAGGUGACGAAGUUUCUGGCGGCGAGUGAUUUGGCGAGCUCGAGAAACGGUGAGAUAUGGCCGUGAGCUAGCCAUGGCAGCAUUAAAACCCUAAUGCUUCUCUCUCUUGUAUCCAUUCUUAUUAUUAUUUCUUCAAACUUAAAUUAAAUUAAUUAAUUAAACAACCGCUUUUUUUUUCUUUUUUUUUUUUUGUUUUAAUUAUGACAAGAAAGAGGAUAACCUAAGUAUAUAUAUGAUGAAUUUAAGAUAAGGCACCAAUUUGAAUUUGGUACGUGGUGGAAACAUAAGACAUGUGAGACCAGAAAGAGACACGUGUACGCAACACUUUAUAACAUAAUGCAUGAAAUUAAAUGAGAACCUCGAUGCAUUUUCUUUAUAUGGAUAAAAUAAAAAUAUGUUUGUAUUUAUUUAUAUACUUUCACGUUUAUAUAUAUAUUCAUCUGGUUAUUUAUACGGGAUGGAUUUAUUCCGUUUAUCUACACAUACAGUUAAUUGGUAGUUAAUUAAUCAAAUCUAGAAUUCAAAUCCACCUCUAACUCUUCGAGAGUCGACUAAAUUCAUUAUAAAUGAUUGAUCCAAAUGUUGCAUGGAGUGAGACUUGAGGUCAACGGUAAUGCGAAAUGUUUAUUUUUCAUACUUGACCCGACGAAGAUUACACUAAAUAUUUUUUUAUUGCUCUACACACACCAAUUAGGAUGUGACGUUAGUAUUUGUAUGUAUAUAAGUGAUAAAAAUUUAUCCAAUGUAAAAUAAUUUAUACGAUGUAUGUGUUUUAAGUUUUAACUGGGGUUGUAGUUAGUUUUAGAUCUCAAACUCAAAUGUGGUAGCAGGUCGUGCAUUAAUUUAUUUUUUUUAAUAUUUUAUACACACAACAUUAAAUAUUUUACACCGCGAGAGGUAUAAAUUUCUCGAAUCCUAGACAAUCCCAACUCUUAUUCAUUAAUAUCAUACAACAAUCUUAGAAAAAAAGAAAAAAAAAAAAAGCUGUUCAGAAAUGCUCAACAUGAGCAUUAUAAAAUUAUGUGAUAAUUCCUAAGUUCACAUUGGCAAAACCUCUAUUACACAAACACACAAGAAAAUAUCUAAAUAUAUAGGGAAAGAAAAGGACGAAAAAAUAUAUAUAUAGGAUAAUAUAAUCCGGCUGGAAGGAGGAUUGGCGGGAGGCUAUCUGUACAUAUUGGGUCCGACGCGUGGAUCGUACGAAGACGAUAGGCGCAUAACAGGAGGUAACCCUCUUUCCGAACUCGGAGAAGUUCUAGAAGAUUCCCCUGCUUGUUCAUUCAACGGUGGGCGGAGUGAUGAUGUAACAUCCGGAAAAAACGGAUAAGAAUCUUCUGCUGACGACCGAAGAACACGGUUCACGUAAGGAUCGAGAUUAUGCAUUGGCAUUAUUGGUGGACUUUCACUUAGUCUAGGUUGUCCGAAAGACCUCUGGAUUUCCGGAGUAAUAAAAGGUCUGUUAGUGACAUGAGUGAGAAAUGAGUCACCCGAUAAAGCACGAGGAUUGUUGGCUUCGAACUGAUAGUCGAUUGGCAAUCUGAAAAGGCCGGGAGAACAAAUGGGAAUUCGCCAGCUGUCGACUUUGUCUGUUUCGAGAUUUGAUGGUUUGACGGCACUGCUAGAAGUUGCUCCUCCUGCUGAAGGAGGCAAGUUAUUGAGUUUCUGAUUCAGCGACAGUUUGGCUCGCUGAAGUGCCUCUAAGACAGAACCUAAAUUGUUCGAAGUUUCUCUAGGCAUAAUCGAAAGCUCACGGGAAGAAGAAGAAGAUAACUGUAACGAAGGGUGUGUUCUAAGUGCAGAUGCCUCGUGCUGUUUUUCUGAUGAGUCGUUGUCACUUUUCUCUUUGGAUGUGGGAAAUGAAAACUCGGUUGCUGAAGAUUCGCCAACGAGUUUCUGUUCCUGCGAAUUUACCUUGUGGUUAUCAUAUGUGACAGGCGGCAAACUCUUGGAAAUCUGUGGUUCUUGUUUCGUUUCUUGAUUAUCUGUACACACGGUCUCAGAAGCAAAUGACUGCUUAGGCGGCUUCAUCUCGUAUAGUUCUUCAGUCACGUCUGAAUGGUUCCCUGGAUCACACGAGUCCUGGUAGGUGGUUCACAGAGAAUAAUUUUAACUUAUUUAUAAGAAAAGAACAUUAGGAAAAAUGAUAUUGUUACGUAAGAGAAAUAGAAAACGAGAUUAGAGAAAGUGAGGAGAGAUGUAAAUUGAAGUAAACAUAUAGUUAAUACUCCCUCCCUUUCUUUUUACGGGACACUUUAGCCAUAUAAAUUUAUCCCGUAUGAAGUGUCACUUUAGCCGUAUUUUUUUUUCCCAAAUUAAGUGUCACUUAGAGUCUCGAGGCAGAAUCAAUUAUUUGUUUCCAACUUUACCCCAACAUUAAUGAUUAGAUUAAUGAAAUGAGAAAGAAAAGGAUGAAACGUCGCAAAGGGGUAAUUUGGUCAAAUAAGGCCACAAAUCAGGACUCUUUAAUAACUCUGUUAAUUGUUGUGCAUCUACUUUAAACGACACUUAAAAAGAGAUGGAGUGCAUCUACUUUAAACGACGCUUAAAAAGAAACACGGAGCUAGUGCCAUAUAGGGAAUGAAACUACUGAAGCACAUAUAGCUAUCGCAGGUGCAGAAAUGAACGGAAUAUAUAUAAAGCAAAUUCAUCGAGUUCAUUUCUAAUCCAACACAUAGAAUUAUUUAAUAUUCCGAUGCACGUUGCAGUUCUUCCCCCGUGCAAGGAAUAAAACAUCUCAUAUAGCUGCAAAAUGAAUUUCAAAAAGACUAAAAAUGCGGCCCAAAUUUCAAUUGGAUUCGAUAAACCAUUAAGCAUACCUGUGUGCCGCCACUGUUAUUAUUCUCUCGGAAUUUGUCCUCCCAUUCUCUUUGAGCCUUCUCCUCCUCUUCGUAUUGACCGAUGAGUUGGGCCUGAUGUUGCAGUGCACUUUCCAUGUCUCCAUUAAAAUAAUGGCCAAUAUUACUUUCUUGCGCUUCAUUAUUUGACCUCAACACGGGGCUUUCUGUUAAUGCAACGGGCUCACCAUUGGAGGAGCAGUUGCAAACAUCUCUGGAAUUUACGGCCUUCUCAGUGUCGACAUUCUGUAACUCCUCAAUUGAUCUGGCAAGUCACACCACAAACAAAAUUAAUGUCAUUGUUUUAUGAGUGAGAAACUAGCUAAGAUGACCAUUUAAUGUAUCAACAAGAUGGGAAUAGAAAUUGAAAAUAUCAAACGUAGAGCCAUUGCGUGUUUCUUAGGCGUAAAUUCAGGAGUUAUAUACUUCAUCGAGAAAGUUGUGGCUCGUUUAUCACUAUCUACCAUUAACCCCAAAAAAAAAAGGAAUCACAAAAAGGGUGAUGAAUUAUAAUGAUCAAAAUCCAAGUCAAGAAAAUUUUACCUAGUCUCUCUGUGCCUUAUCCUACGACAUGAUUUACCGGCCCUUUUUGCUGAAGAACCAUUUGAUGAAAAGCUCGUUCUUCUUCUGACAGAAUCGAUGUAUUUCUUCUUUUCGGGUGAGUGUCGCUGAGGAUCUUUGGUACUCUUCCAGGACAAGCUUCUACUACCGAUUGAUGGACAAGAUUCGAUUUCGGAACUGGAAUAUGCCUCCGUUUCGUUUUUUCUUGGUUUGUGGUUGGUUGAAGUUUCUUGAAUUACCAAUGAACUAUUACGAGCCUUCAAUUCAUGUGGACUUUCAUCCUGCUCGGAACACGAAUCAAAUUCUUCUGACACGUCACUUAUUCCGUGAUUUUCCAACAUUGCAAGAACAUCCGCUGUGGCCUUUUCGGCUUUUUUCCUUUGAAGAGAUACAAAAUUUAGCUGCUCCGUAAGUUCUGCUACCUGAAAGUUUGAAAUAUUCAGAAGCCAAGCAAUGAACAAUUAUCCGAAAGGGGGUGAGGUAAAGAGAAAAGGAACAAGUAAGAGAUACGUAUAAAUCCUCACAUUUAUAUUACUUAAUUCAUUUUUCAGAUCUUCAAUUAUGCGAUCGUUGUUACCAACUUGCCAUACAAUACACCGAGUGAAUUAAUUCUCAAAUUACUCGUUUUAUUUGGAGAUUUCGUGAAAUUAGGCUGCCUAUCGUUACUCAAAUCUUAUGAGAAUUGGGGAAAAACGCAGACCAUUUAACAAUCGUAUGUGUUACAAGACAUAACUCACCCUCUUGGACAGCUCAUCAGCUCUUUGCCUUGCUGAUUUCGAGACAGAUCUUUCUGACAACAACCUCGCCCGAAGAAAUUCUAUCGUCAUUGCAUUUGAUUCUUCCAUGAUAUUCACAAUUUCACUUCAAACGAUCACAAAAAAACUGCCUAAAUCAAGAAAAUGCAUUAAUAUAAUCAGUAGUUUUCACUCUCAUUCCCAGCCACGUGCAAAAGGUUCAUACAUGGAAACACUUCCUUCAAACUUCAUUUACCACAGUAAUUAAUCACAGCAUACUGGAAAACUUAGCAACAUGUGCAUGGGAUUCGAUCCGAUUUAUACAUAAACUCAUCAACACCAUCUUCAUUUACCGAUACUUUCUCCUACAUAUUAUUACUCCACAUAUACCUUACUAGAUUAGAGAUAUGUUCAUAUUAUAGUAAGCAAGAAUACUUCACUAACACGCAGAAGCAACUUAUAUAUCAAUACCCGAUAGGAAUAGAACACGAUAAAACUACUUCCGAGGCAGAAUACAUACGUGCAUCAAAUCCCAACGCAACUAAAACUGUAUCUCACAAAAAAAAAAUCAAAGUUCUAAGAGUUCUAAGUUCCAUAUCACAUUAAGACAACACACAAUUAUCCAACCAACUCGUAGCAAAAUUUAUGUUCGGUGCCGUACAUGGUACACCGGGUAGCAUGUCACCGUAGAUAUACAUACAAUCACACACAUAUAUAUUGGACAAACAUUUAUGUUCCUACAACACCCAAAUUGGAAUGAAUUAAUACACCAUUUUUUCCCCUUAAUACACAUCAUCAUAAUUGUGAAAUUCGAUCUAACGGUGUAUAUCUUCACUUGCACAAUCACAUACAGAAACGGGGUAAACGAUUCCUUUCACAUACUGAAGAAACAAAAAAUCCAUAACUGAGAAGGGAAAUUCCCCCAAAAAUG